rnacentral:lncRNA from 1 species
AGCCAAUUACUUAUUUGUCUCGCUAUUUACCUCUUCUUUCGGUUAGAAGAAAGUUGUAAUUGAUACUCUCAAAAAGGCAUUCUGCACGUGUUUCUAAUAUCGUUUUACUCCUAAAUUUUAUUGUAGAGGAGUUCAAGUUAACUAUUUUAGUGUUUCAGUAACAGAACUCUAUAUUUGUUGAAAGAGAAAUUCUAAGGAGACUAUCUUAAAAGUAACACUUUUUAUGAACUUUCUGACAUUUCAUGUUUUUAGCACAAUGCUUUAUAAUAUAGGCACGGAAAUUAACGUUAAAUUGUAAGAUGACAAAGAGUUCAAGGAGAGUCUCAAUUUAAAAGAGUCUCUUUAGCAUUUCUCUUGUUGAAAUUACUCAAGAAAGUUGUGGUUAGCCACGGUUCGCGAAUUAGAGGUGGGCAAGAAACAUGUUAGAGUCUGAUUAAUGUGAUGAGUUUGAUUCAGUUUUAUCAUUAAAACGAGUAAUUCCAUACUGAAAUAAAUCAAACCGUAGUUAGUAGUGUUGUCAAAAAAGAAAAGAACUUUCGAAGACAAUAGUUAAAUAGCUAAAUGAUUUCCAUUUGUUGAUUUUUCACAAGGGUGAUAUUUGAUUGAUGACUUAAACAUGAUUGUAUUAACUUAUAUUUACGUUCCUAACAUGGUUUAGUUUUGAUUCCAAAAAAUAGAGAACCAAAAUGGUGAGGUAUAUAAUUUAAACUCAAAGAACCACCACUAACUAGCCUUUUUGGUUCUAGUUUGGUUAGACGAGUUCUUCAGUAUGCUACCAUUGUAGAAUAACUUUGCUAUAGGUAGCUAAAAUGGUAUAACACUAACUAAUCACCUAUGCACUCAUGCAACAAAUUUUUACUCUCUCACUCUCUUCAUAUCGUGGAAGGUAGUAUGAGUUUGACUGGACCUUUUGAGAAGCCAAUGUUUCUGGAGGAUCUGCAAUUUUGGUACCCUUGGGAUUUCCAGAGGAUGUGAAACGUUUCUGACCUCUUGGGCCGGCGCCCGGCGGAAUCGUGUGUCGAUGUGCUUGUUCUCGUGGCGUUUUCUUGGUUCCUCUAGUUUGAUGGAGAGCGUGUAUGUAUUUUCAGGGGGUCCUACUUUGGACACUGAUGCUAAUUUUUAUUUAUUUACUGAAGUUCUUGGCUUCUAGUGAGUGGUGAAAUAUUUCCAAACCAACGGAAAGGGAUCCUCCGGGUCCCUUCCACCAAAUCCUUCUCAUCAAAUAAUUCGGAUCAUUAAAAUUUGUUCUAACGGUUAAAGUUUUUAUAAUUUUUAAAGUGUACCCCUGUUUAUAGUCGUUGAAUCAAAUUUCAAAUACUCGAAUUAGUUGAUGGGGAUAAUUUGGUGGAAGGGAUCCAGAUCCCUUUCCCCAAUUCAACACCUUGUUCCACUCUCGUUCUCCUAGUCUCUUAGUUUACCUUACAAAAAAAAAAUUACAUUACAUGUCAGGAACUGUUUCUCAUUCAGUGAUAAUGGGAAAUCAAUUUAUAAACUUUACAAACGAAACAAUUCAUUCUUUUAACCAUCAUCUAUUGGUGACGAUAUGACAUCAAUUUACCAUACAAACGUAUAAUCAAAACUGUUCAUUCUCUUGUAAUCAUUUAAUGACAAUCUCAAGAAAAAAUUAUUGCAUUUUAAGACUUUAAUCAUGCAUAUAUGUACCUUAUCAUGAGAAUACACUUGUCAGCAUAAACGUAGAUAUUUUGACAUAUAUGGAUGACUAAACAGCCUCUAAAUUAACGAAUUUUUUUAAGUAUGAUCUUUGGACAAUGAUAAAGAUAAUAUAUUACUACGAUGGUGAGAAGCCAAGUAAUGCUUUUGAAGGAAAUUAAGGUUCUAUCAUAAAAUUUAUUGACAAUAUGGAGAGUAAGCCAACUAUUUGUAAGCACAUGCAAUGUCCCUUAUUCCCCCGAUAUUGUGAGAUUCAUACAAACUCAACACGCCCCAUUGCGCUUGGAAAAUUUCAAGCCCAAUAUGUGAACAAACACAAAUUGGGUGAUGUUGAUAUGUUGCCAUUUUAUUUUACACAUGUGACAACCUGUUUUGAUACCAUGCACGAAGUUGGGUUCCACUAUAAAAUCAAUUGAAAAAAUGAGAAGUAAGCAGAUAUAAAAUUUAUUAUUUAAUGUGGCAUUUAAAUCUCAAUAGUUUUAUUAAUGCUCAAAACUUAAAAGGUCAACAAAGGACUAGUAUGACCAACCCUUGGUGAGUUUUAAGGAUAAAACUGAUGUGAAAACAACAAGAUUUAUGUGGUUUAUCUGUAAAAAUGGGUUAUGUCCACUGGAGAAUGAGUAAUAUGAUGUAUAUUUGUUGUGAAUAACAAUAACUCUCAAGAUAAAGUAAUCCAAUUCUAAAGGGUACUCAUAUCCUUUAUAUAGGCCAUGAGUAAGCCCAAAAAAGUCUUUACCCUUUAAAUUUCUCAUCACUCCAUUAGUAAAUGAACUAUACUAGUAGACUUGGUUUGUAGGCUACUCAUGUACUCAAUGGCAGAGCCAGGAUUUUUCAAAUAAUAAGCUAUGAUUUCGAACAAAAAAAACUUCAUUGGACCAUUUCGUGGAACACCUGGUAGGAACAUGUCGAUUCUUGCCAACAUUUGCUGAAGAAUCAUGCUAACAUAUGUUAACAACUACUAUGAUAUGUAGAUGCUUGUCAAUAGUGGCUACAUGAAAUCAUAGAGUGAUUUUGAAGACUGUCAAGACUUGUCAACUGAGACACUUCAUCAAGUUUUUGGUGCACACAAUAAAGUCGCACAAAAGUAGAGAGAAAAGGAAGAUAUAGAUGAUAAAAAAAAAUAGAAGAAGAAGUAGGAGGAAGUUAUAAUUUAGUUUGUCGUAUCUGUUUAUAGAAUCAAAUACAAUACACAAACAAAAUAUACAUAGAGUUUUUGAAGUUGUUGAGGUCAUGAAUAACCAAUAAUCCCAUACUGACUCUGGCAAUGCCUCAACGGCUCGACUAACACGUGGAGAAGAAGUGACAUCCGCGCAAGGCUACUUGGUUUCCCUCGUCGACACCACUCGAGUGCAACGUUCGUUCGAGGGUGGUUGAAAAACAUUUGAGCCGAGAGCUAGGUCUGACAACAUUUGUGUCCUUUCAUAGACUUCCUACUAUGUUCCUUCAUAAAAGACUUCAAGUGCUUUUGUGAACGCAUAAAAUUUUAAAUUUUCUUCACCAUUGCCAAAAGCGCUUUGGGUAAUCAACAAAAACUUUUAGUUAUUUAAAUCCAAACAAACCUGAAAUUUUAUUGAAAUUCAAAGUGAUUUUUGAAGACAAGUGCUUCUCUAAAAAGUGAAUUUACAAACCUUUAUGCGUUUUUAAUUUUUUAUGCCUAACUUAGAAAUGUUUUCGGUUAUUAUAAAGCACUUCUAGUAAAUUCCAUAUAUUUCACUUACAAAAUCAAUGAUAUUCGUGCACACAAAUUACAUAUGAAUUUAUGAAACAUUGGUGCAAAUUGUAGGUAUUCAAAAACUCCUACAUUCUCCUCGUUUGUGUUCAAAAUGUGGUUUCUUUGGCGUUAUAACCGGCACCAAAUCCCUCUGAAGUUCUGAACCCAACUCCAGUACAAUACCUUCUCUACCCUUCUCCAAUCCUGCUUGCGUGCAAACCAACAUCCAACUUGGCCCACUUCUUCUUUCGCCACGUCACUCCUUAUGAAGGCCAUUAUCGUCAUCCUGCUACUCUUUUAACGCUCAAACCUUACACUACGCUUUAUUUACCAAAAUAACCCUCUUGCUAAACGUGCCUCCCUCCCUCCCCAACCCAACGCAGCCACAAGAAGAAAUAACAACAAAACUGUUAACCUAUUUCUUUUACUUUUAUUUGUGAAGUUUUGCAAAAACCAAAACUUUAGCCAAUCUUUAAUUCAAUUUUUAUUUUGUCUUAAGUAACCUUUUACCAUACAAAUCUUUUUUUUUUGGACACUGUUAUCUAUACACUUAUUUUUACUUAUCACAUACUUCUAUUAAUUUUCAAUUGUCAAAUCGAAUAAAUUGAAGAAAAUCAAAGACAAUAAAAUAAACAAAGAUGUGUGGGAGGUAAAAUUUAGUGUGCGAAUAAUACUAUUUUUUUUCUAGAUGUAAAAAAUAGGAAGAUUCAGUGUGAUUUUUUUUAUAUCAAACGAUAUUAUUUACACUAAAAAAAUGUAGAAAACUAGAAGUUAGCUAAGCCUCAUAGUGGAUUAUAUGAUUGUCCAUAAUUGUUACAUUGCUAAAAAGUAUUUGGAGUGUUAGAUGCUACGCGGAAUUGGUUUUUACGAAAAUGGGAUAGGUGCACAAACUCCAAGGCAGAAAAAAGAAAAGAAAAAGAAAAAACAUAGGUGAACACCAAGUAAUUCAUUAGGAAGAAAAUGAUACAUCACUUAAGGAUCUAACAUGAUCACCGACUACAAUCGUAUCGCAACAAAAUAUUUUUGUAAAUCAAUAUAUCAUGAUGCAUCAGAGUAGUUAAAACAAAUACUUAUCUAGUACAAAAUGGAAAACAAAAUACACGAUUUAUUAGGCGGCAAUGUUCGUAGAGAUAAAUGAUCUUCUUAAUUAGAUUACAAAUUAUAUUCAAUUUAGCUUCGAUUGAAAACGUCAUACUUUGUUAGUUCUCAGCAGUGGCACCUUUGGAAAAGAACUAAUAAAACUCAUUUUGUAGAAAAAAUCUACUCUUUCAUGGCGGAUCGAUCCUAUUUAUAUAAAAAGUAAGCGAAAUUAAUGGCUGCAAUCUUAGCCUUACAACUAAACUCUUAACAUACAAAACUGACACAUCUAAGUAGCUAAGUAGUUUGUUUAAUCAACCUUGGUCUUGUAGUUUCAACUAGUUCGGAGCUUCGUACUCAGUAGCGUCAAAUUCUGAGAUUCUAGAUUCAUAAUUAUUUUGCAAAAUUAUGAAAAGCAAGAAAAAGAAAAACAAAGGAAAGGAGGAGAGUUUUGAUUUGAUUUUUUAUUUUCUGAGAUUUGAUUUUAUUUUUCGAGUUGAUUUAUUUGAUCGGUAGUAUUCUAUUUUCCACAGCUUUGACCAAUUGUACUUUUUUUACAGACUCGGGCACAUCCCACCGCACCCCACCCCCCUAAAUUCUCUCUUUCCAGGGAUUUUUCUCUCUCUUCUGUUCCCUCCCUCCCUCCUCCCUCCGGUCCGGUUCCCCGGCCCCUUCUCCGACGCCGUUUCGUCCCUUCUCUUUUCUCUUCUCAACCCCUCAGUUCCUCUCUGAACCCCCUCUUCCUUUUCAAACCCGCCGUCGGUCUCUCCGCAACCAGCUCCCAAACAGUCCACGGCUUCGAGCUCAGCUUCCUGUCUGCUCGGAGUCAAAGCUCAGAACGGGAGGUCUUAGGGUUUCGGCAGAUCUGCGCGGCGUAGUGUAGAUAGAGAGAGAGGUGAGCAGUGGUGGUGACGGUGACGUGGCCGUUGAUGGUAUUGCACGGAGGCGCGAGAGCGAGUUGGACGGUAGAUGAUGAACGGAGCUCCUGUGAGGGAUCGGAGAGGGUGGUGGCGUUACGGUAAUUUCUCUCACAUGGAAUGGCAGAUCUUGUUAGCUACGGGAAUGCCAACCGUGACAUCGACCAGGUCUCGUUCUCUCCAAAUUCUUUUUGCCUCAAAAAUUCUCUUUGCAAAUGUAUCAGAAAAUACAAAGAAAAAUUAAAUUAUUGUUAAUUAUCCUCUGUUUACAUGUCUAAAGUGGAAGAUUUAAUUUUUAGCUUUAUAAAGUUAAUAUUUUGUAGGUAUGUGGAAAAUGUGAAGGAAUUUAGAUUUGGUAAACAGCUUUCUGGAUAUAAUUAUUGGGCACAUAAUCUUCUCAAGGCUUUGAUUUAUGAGGUUAAUUUCUGGAUUCAUCGUUUCGGGCUCAAUAGAUGCAGUAAUGGGUGCUUUUAGAGGACCAGAUAGGCCCUAAUAUUCGAACCUUUUUUAAUUUUGUAUUUUUCCCAUGUGCAUUUGCCAUAUCGACAACUGGGUUUGCUCUGAGGGAAUGUGUAUAGUACUGACAUCUUCGAACGAUAACUGUCUAGUGAUUAUUGCGACAAAGUGAUCCAAUGGAAAUGGCAUUGCAUGUAAACCACAUUUUAAUUUCUUCGCAGGGUCAAAAACCUAACUUUAGACGCAUAGGGUUUUGUAAUAUCUUAAAAGUUUGGAUUUAGCGAUUUAUUCGCUUAGUUGCAGGAUAAUGGUAAAUGAAUUAUGAUAUGUCUUGGAAGGUUGUAACUUGUAACUGAAAGAGAACUAAGUUGCUAUGCUUCUUGAGUUGGAAGUCACAAAGUCUACUGUAUGCGGUAGGAGUUCAGUGUACCACUAUAAUUAGAAUAGCAUUUCAUUUUGGUGUAGAAUUCCGUAUUCGAGUAUAAAUGAUACUACUCUUUUGUAUGAGUUAUUAUGGUCGUAUGUUUAGUGCAUACAGCCUUUAUCCAUUCUUCAUAUCUUUCUCAUGGUUUUGAAUGAUUCUUAAAUGAUUUGCAGGCAAUAAUUGCUUUAAAGAAGGGUGCUCAACUACUGAAAUAUGGUCGUAAGGGAAAGCCUAAGUUUUGUCCAUUUAGACUUUCUACUGUAAGUUUGUAUCUAAAGCUUCUCUAUUAGGAUUUAUUAUUAAGAUAUUGGUGGUUUGUCGGCUUCAUGGAAGGAAUAAAGCAUGGGUGCACAAUUGUUAAAGUUGAAAUAAAACAUUUAUUCCACAAUUCCUGCAUGGACAGACAGUAAAGUACAAUGUAUUACACUUGUAAAAGGAUGAAGUAAAGAAUGCUACAAAACAUACUUUAAUUGAAUUUCCCACUUAGCAGUGUAAUGUAGUGCCAUUUAGGUAAUUUCUAUCUUCUCCCACAAGUAUACAAUUUCCAACAAUUUCCAUUUGUGUGUAUAACGGAAAAGAUAAAAUUUAUCAAGUUUUCCUUCUGCUUAUUAAAUUAAUAACUGAAGGGUAAAUCUGAGUUAAUCAAGGUUUCGAUCCAUUUGGCAGAAUAGAACCAUAAGGGUACAGUAGGCAGUUUGCCAGAGUCUAUGGCAUAUUUCAUUUUGAUAAGAGAUUUGAGAAUUUAUUCGUACUGUAGUUUGAGGUCAGUCAAGGCAAAAUAUGGUCUAUAGUUCUUGGAGAAACAUAUCAUUAAUAGUCAUGAAUAACAUUUCACCUUGUAAGGUCUUGGAAUAUGUUAAAUUUCAGUUGACAUUACUUGUGCUGUGAUGUUGCUGCGUAUCUACACUGCUUUGUGUUUUGACUUAUGCGAUGUAAAAUACUGCUAAUGAGAUAGCUUUUCACUGGCCCUUUUAUGGUUCUUGCUUGUGGUUACAUAUAUUGUAAUUUGAUUCAUAAAUUCGUGUGCUCUUAAAUGGCUUCCAUUUUCUACUUACUGCUGCAUUUAAUAAUUUCAGGACGAAUCAUCUUUGAUCUGGAUUUCAAGUAGUGAAAGAAGUUUGAAGUUGGCUUCUGUCACAAGAAUUGUUCCUGGACAAAGAACUGUAAGAUAUUUGAUAUCACUUUGAUAUAAUUUUUAGUACAUGACUAGCAUAUAUUACUGCAGGUUUAAAUUUUACGUCUUCUAGUGAUACUUAUUCUAAUUUCAUUUUGUUACAAAAUUUGUUACAGGCUGUCUUUCAACGAUAUUUGUGUCCUGAAAAGGAUUAUUUAUCCUUUUCUCUUAUAUACAAUAACGGAAAGCGGUCUCUUGAUCUGGUUAGUGGUGGAAGUUCAAAAUGAUAUCUCUCAUUACAUAGUUUCCUAUUUUUAUUUAAUAAUACUAAUAUUUAUGAUUAACUGUUAUUUCCUUCCAGAUUUGCAAGGACAAAGUUGAGGCAGAAGUGUGGAUUGUAGGCCUCAAAGCACUAAUUUCCUCUGGUAGUGGUGGUCGUUCCAAAAUUGACGGAUGGAGUGAUGGAGGCCUCUACCUUGAUGUAAAUAUACCUACUUAGAAAUCUUCGUUGUGUUAGCUUUUAUAUUUUGUCUUGUAUUGCAGUUAUCUGUGUUAUAUAUGCAUCAGCCUGCUGUGUUGGAGCCCUUCAGGAAAAUUUGAAAUGCUGAAAUACUAUGCUUGUAUAGACAUAUAGUGUGUGUGCGCGCGCGUGCGUGCGUGCGUGCGUGCGUGUUGAUAUAUAUAUAAUUUCUUUUUCUUACCUUUGUAAAUUUUUGUUUUACUUUAUAUAUAUAUAAAAUAUUUUUUUUUGGAUUUUAGUUCUCUUAUUACUUUAAUGACUAAUGAGUCAUCUAACUUUAUAGUUUAGUUCAUAUGAUUUUAUUGUAGUCAUCCAACCUCUUUAUGCUGAAACAUUACACACGCACAUACACUUUGGAUGUAUGAAAGUUUCUCUAACAUUUCGAUACGUAUAAGUACACCUGUUGAAUGACUGCCUGCUGAUCAAGUCUUUGGGUAUUUCAGGAUGGCAGGGACUUGACAUCAAAUAGUCAAAGUGAUAGUUCUGCUAGUGGUGCACGAGAUAGUGGCUCUCCAGAGAUUUCUGUUAGUUUCAAAACAAAUUCGCCCAAGAGUUUUCUGCCUGAAAAUUCCCCGGUUUCUGAGAAGUCACAUGCUGCAUCAGACCAGACAAAGAUGCAAGUAAAAGGAUCUGGUUCGGAUGCAUUUCGAGUUAGUGUUUCAAGUGCUCCUAGCACUUCAAGUCAUGGUUCAGCACCGGAUGAUUGUGAAGCUCUAGGUGAUGUGUACAUAUGGGGUGAAGCUAUUUGUGAUAGUGUUGUUAAGAUUGGGGCUGAUAAAAAUGUGAAUUAUUUGAGCCCGAGAUCAGAUGUGCUUGUCCCUAGGCCAUUAGAGUCCAAUCUUGUUUUGGAUGUCCAUCAUAUAGCCUGUGGGGUCAAACAUGCAGCCUUGGUCACGAGACAAGGUGAAGUGUUUACAUGGGGAGAAGAAUCUGGAGGACGACUAGGACAUGGUGCUGGGAAGGAUGUUUCUCAGCCUCGUCUAGUUGAAUCUCUGGCAGCUACUAGUGUUGAUUUUGUGGCAUGUGGAGAAUUUCAUACUUGUGCUGUUACAAUGGCUGGGGAACUUUAUACAUGGGGAGAUGGUACGCAUAAUGCUGGACUUCUUGGUCAUGGCACUGAUGUCAGCCAUUGGAUACCAAAGAGAAUUUCAGGUCCUCUUGAGGAACUUCAAGUUGCUUCUGUAACUUGUGGUCCAUGGCAUACAGCCUUGGUAACAUCAACCGGGAAACUCUUCACAUUUGGCGAUGGCACAUUUGGUGUCUUGGGCCAUGGAGACAGAAAAAACAUUCCCUAUCCGAGAGAAGUAGAAUCCCUAUCAGGGUUGAGGACUAUAUCUGUUGCAUGUGGGGUGUGGCACACUGCUGCUGUGGUGGAGGUUAUUGCAACACAAUCUAGUGCAAGUAGUUCAUCAGGUAAGUUGUUUACUUGGGGUGAUGGAGAUAAGAAUCGACUUGGGCAUGGAGACAAGGAAGCCCGGCUUAAACCGACAUGUGUUCCUGCCCUUAUUGACUACAAUUUUCAGAAAAUUGCUUGUGGGCACAGUUUAACUGUAGGCUUGACGACAUCAGGACAUGUUUUUACAAUGGGCAGUACUGUUUAUGGUCAGCUUGGAAAUCCCAAUUCUGAUGGAAAGCUUCCUUGCUUGGUAGAAGACAAGCUUUCUGGGGAUUGCGUUGAAGAAAUUGCUUGUGGUGCAUAUCAUGUAGCAGUAUUAACAUCCAGGAAUGAAGUUUAUACAUGGGGAAAGGGAGCUAAUGGGAGGUUGGGCCAUGGGGAUAUUGAAGAUCGGAAAACACCGACUCUCGUUGAAGCUUUAAAGGAUAGACAUGUGAAAUAUAUCGGCUGUGGUCAAAACUAUACAGCAGCUAUUUGUCUUCACAAAUGGGUAUCUGGUGCUGAGCAGUCACAGUGCUCUGCUUGUAGACAGGCUUUUGGGUUCACAAAGAAGAGGCACAACUGCUAUAAUUGUGGACUUGUCCACUGCCAUUCAUGCAGUUCAAGAAAAGCAACAAGAGCAGCACUGGCUCCUAAUCCUGGAAAACCAUAUCGGGUUUGUGAUGCUUGUUAUGUGAAAUUGAAUAAGGUGUUAGAAACCGGUGGUAAUAACAGAAGGAAUGCUAUACCUCGCUUGUCAGGUGAGAACAAGGACAGGUUGGACAAGGCUGACAUAAGAUUGUAUAAGUCUGCUGUACUAUCUAAUAUGGAUUUGAUAAAGCAAUUAGAUACUAAAGCAGCCAAGCAGGGAAAGAAAGCUGACACAUUUUCACUUGUCCGCUCCGCUCAAGCACCUUCAUUGUUGCAAUUAAAGGAUGUUGUUAUGUCAACUGCUGUUGAUUUGCGACGAACAGUUCCCAAACCAGUUCUUACACCAUCUGGAGCGAGUUCAAGGUCCGUGUCACCUUUCUCAAGGAGACCAAGCCCUCCUCGUUUUGCAACUCCUGUUCCUACUACAUCAGGACUUUCCUUCUCAAAAAGUAUUGCUGAUAGUCUGAAGAAAACAAAUGAACUUUUGAAUCAGGAAGUGCUAAAAUUACGUUCACAGGUACAUAGUUCAUACUUUUCUGGACUUUAUGGCUACUUUUUGUAAACCUCUUGAGAGGGGUGGUGGGUUCGUGUUUGACUAUUUGUAAUUAUUAUCUUCUAAUAAUUUGAUUAUAAAUGUUUUUUUCGUAAGGUUGAGAGCCUUAGACAGAGAUGUGAUAUUCAAGAAUUAGAGCUUCAGAAUUCUUCGAAGAAAGUACAAGAAGCAAUGGCAUUGGCCGCAGAGGAAUCUGCUAAAUCUAAAGCUGCAAAAGAAGUUAUAAAGUCACUAACCGCACAGGUCAUUUCUUCUGCUACCUGCUUUCAUUUCCUAAAGUUAUUCAUGAUCAUCGACUUGUUUGUAAUAUAUUUAAAAAACAUUUCAUUUAAUCAUUUCUUAUUAUAAUAUUGAAUUUAAUAAAAUAAACUUCAGAGUAGAAUAGUACAUGAAUUAUGUACCCAUGGUUUAUCUCUACGAAUGAAACUGUAGGCUGUAGCAAUAAGGAGCCAAUGGUACACGUUUUUCGUACUUAUUUUUUUUGUCAGUUGCAAUCUUCUAACUCUGGAACUUGAAUAAGUUAAAAGGUGUUCUUUACUAUUGAGUUAGGUAGCUGACUCUCUACUUUUUUGGUCGAAAUUUUUCAAUUGAUGUUGAACUGCCAUAGUGAUGAUCGUGGUUGACAAUUAUUUCAGCUCAAGGAUUUGGCAGAACGGCUGCCACCUGGGGUUUAUGAUACAGAGACCAUAAAGAAGGCAUUCCUGCCAAAUGGGUUGGAGCCAAAUGGCAUUAACUAUCCAGAUGCUAAUGAAGAGCAGCAUUCAAGAUCGAAUUCCAUCAGCAGUUCUUACUUGAUCUCAUCCUUGGGAAUCGACUCUGCUACAACAAAUGGAAAUCACGUCCCGAUUCAUUCACCCAAGGAUCCACUUGGAACAAAUGAAACAAAUGUGCAGCAGAGUCGGGAGCUUCUGACCUCCAAUAAACUACCCAAUAGUGGUGGAUCAUUUCAGUCAGUCAGUAGUAGUGUGUCUGAAACUGUUGAUGGCAAGGAAUCCGGGCCUUUUCAAGAUGGGGAGAAUGGUGCGAGGUCCAAGAAUUCUCCAUCGCCUGCUAAUGGUAAUACAGUUGAGGCAGAAUGGAUUGAACAAUAUGAGCCGGGUGUUUAUAUAACUCUUGUGGCUCUGCGGGAUGGAACUAGAGAUCUCAAACGAGUGCGCUUCAGGUACUAUUGGUUUUUGCUAGUUUCUUAAUACGAUAAAUCUGUCAGCUGGUAGCCCUAUGAUCUCUUGAACAUAUUGGCCGUAACAUGCCACAUACUCGGUGCAUAACUUUGCUGUUAUGGAUCAAAGAUGGAAUAAUCUUGUAAUUAAAGUCUUAUAAUAUGCAUUUUCAUUUGCAGCCGAAGGAGAUUUGGAGAGCAACAAGCAGAGAUCUGGUGGUCGGAGAAUCGUGAGAAAGUGUACGAGAAGUACAAUGUCCGUGGGUCAGACAAAUCAUCGGUUGCUGGCUCAGCUGCACGCAGAUCAGACGGAGCCCUCUCACCUGCCUCAUCUCAACAAGCUUAGCAAAGGACGGGCAGAAGGAGGGAAGUCCUCCAUUAACUUAUCUUGUACGAAUGACUCUGUAGGUGGUGUUGAGAGGAAGCAACAAAGGGGUGGUGUAUGAAGGGAAGCAUUGCAAACAACCUCUUUUGCCUUUAUUUUGUUCAUCACCUUUCAUUCCUUCCCACUUUCACCCAAUUUUUUUUUUUUUUUUUCUCAAAUUGAUUUUUGCUCGUCCAUUUAAUUUACGGGUAUUUGCCCUUUAUACACCUGUUGUAUUGUAGUGUAUAUAAAAUUUUCGUUUCUGAGACAAUCUGAGCAAAUGAAAGUUUCUCUUUUUGCUCUUCCAUGCUUUUGGCCCUUAAAUUUUGCAAUCCUCUAUACCAAAUGAGGUAAAAAUUUACAGGCUCUGCAUGGCGAGGAAAACUUGUGUAAACCAGGCGAGCCAUGUUUGCUGUCCAACUGCACUUGCAAAAUACAACCCCGUCCUUGUUUUUUGGUCCCACUUGACCCCACUAAUCCCAUUCCCUGUGAGAGAGUUCCUCUGUCAGACAGAUAUGCCGAAAUUUCUAUUCUAAAUGACUUUAUAUGUAUUUCUCCGUGUAUAUAUAUAUAUUUUUUUUUUUUAAAUAUAGAAGUUAUCUUACCACACAUUGUUUAUAAACUAGUAGCCUUUUCAUACAAUCCCAAUAUCGUACAAGGUGGUAGCGUACUUUUGACUUCCAGGUCAAAUGGUACGCCAAAAUAAAACUGAUGGCUCCAAGAAUUAUACACCAAUGGGAGUUCAAACUCUUUUUGCUUGUUUACCACUAAACGAACCUUUAGGAUUUCCAUAUAUAUGAUGUUAAUCGAACAAUUGUAGCUCAUUCUAUCUCCAAUAUUCAAAUACUAACGUGAUCAUUUUCAUAAGCUACCGACACAGAAAACUUACAUUGCAGAUUCUAACUUGAGUGAAAAAUUUGAAUAGCCAGUAAGGAUCCCAAUUUGUUUAAGUUUUAACCAAACCCCUUUGAAUCUUUCUCCCACCAAAAUCCAAAGUAAAAUGUAACAUUCAGUCUUUUGACCCUAUGGUCUUUAUUUUGAGAAUCCCCAAUUCUAUUGCUCUCAUAGGGAUUAGGUAUUAGUCUCACACCUCUCUCUCUCUCUCUCUCAAAAUGGCAGUUUGAAUUUAAUGCAAGAUGUGAAAUGGCUUAACCAACUUAUUGCCAGCAACCAAACUUUCACAGGAUGUGGGUCAAUAAUAUUUACCCCCUCCAAAAACGCAGGCCAAGUUAGACUUUUGUUGAUUUUGUUUUGUAAGGAGCUGUCAAUUUUUUGCGUACUUCAAUUUUAGCUAACCACCCCAAUUUUAACCUUAAUGUGGAUAACAUAUUGUUUUUUAUUUCUUCUUCACCUUUGCUAUUUCACUUUGUACAUUUUUUAUUUGAAUUUUAGAGUUUAGUGAUUAGCAGGGAAAAUAAAGUUAGCAGAAGAUUGGCCAAUUAUAAAAGCUAGGGGGUAACCAACUAAAAUUAUAGUUCAAUGGGGAAAUGGCCAAUUAUAAAGGGUUAGAGGAUAAAUCGGGUAAAAAUAAAGUUCAAAGAGAAUAUUGACAACCUCUUACAAGUUCAGGAAGAAAUCAACCAAUAACUCACUUUAGUAUAUAUAUUUAUUUAUUGAGUGAAUUGCCAAUUUAGUUCCUGAAUUAUCAACUCAGUGAAAAUUAAAUCCUAAACUAUUUUUUUAACAAAAUCAGUUCUUGAAUUAUAAAAAUAUGUCAAUUACAUCUCUAAUAUUAUAUUCAAAGCUACUAAAAUUCAAUUUUCUAUCAAUUUAAAUCACAUUAUUUGCUUGUGAUAUACAUUGGAGGAUAGAUUGGUAAUUUUACAUAAAAAAAUAGUGUAUGGAGUUAACUUUGGAGGGUAAAUUAGACGUUAGAUUUGCAACCUAUAUGAAUUGUUAAGAGCUUAUAGGCGAGAAAAGAACAGUAUUACACUCUAAAGUGUGUCAAUUGACUUAAGUUGAUGAAAAAUUGGAUCAAAUCGCUUUGAAUAUAAUAGUAAGGAUGAAAUUCAUAAUUUUUAAUCAAUUUAGGAACUUAUGUUAUUGAAAAAAUAAUUUAAGGACCUAAUUUUUCACUUUGGUAAUAGUUCAUGGACUAAAUUGAUGCUUCACUUUUAUUUAUUUAUUUUCAUGCAUGGUGUUUCAUAGGUGACUUUUUAUCCGUUACAAAUUCACAAGAGACUUGUAUUCUUUAAUAAAUGAGAUAUACAUCUUUUGCAUGUGAAUAGAAAAACGUAAACAAACAAACAAACAAAAAACAUAAAAGUCACAUUAGAAGUGGAUUAUUCUCCUCUUGUGUUUGAAAAAAAUGUUGCAAAUAAUAAACUAAGAAAUGUGAGUGAGUUUCUUUCUUCACCAAGUUAGACUUUUGAAUACUCAUCCCCCGCUCCUCUUUUCCUCAACGCCUUCACAGCAGCACCAACCAAAAGCAAAAACACAGAAAAUAGGGGGGGGGGGGGUGGGAGGGAGGGAGAGAGAGAGAGAGAGAGAGAGAGAGAGAGAGGAUAGCUAGGUAUGAUGGAAAGGCAUGGAGCAAAAAUAAGUAAAAUGACGGGAUGUCGACACGUCAGCCUAUAAUAUUUAAGAGGAUCACGUACGUCCAUCAUCACUCACUCACUCACUCUUGUCAAAAGAUUUUGAGUUUGCUCUCACUCAAGCUUUAGUACUAUAGUACUGUUCCUACCCAGCUAGAUAUAUAUAAUGCGUACUCUUUCUUUUCUGCAUCAUAAACUUCUGGAAGGGACAAUUUCAUCUCAUUGGCUUCAAUCUAAUUGCAUGAAUUCACUUCCAUUAUAUGAAAAUUACAUGCAGAAUUAAAACAAAGUAGCAGAAAAUAUGAAUUAAUGUUUGAUAUUUUUUUUCUUCCUUUACAAAUUUUCCAUAUUCAUCAGCUGGAAUAUUUCAAGGAGGAUGCGUAUAUCCGUAUCCUUAAACAUUAACUUACAGAGCAUUUUUUAUGCUAGCUUCUCAUAAAAUUAGGCUCCGAAAUCAAAAACCAAACAAACAAACAAAAAAAUAACAAAAUAUAUCCACCAACCCCAUGUACAUUACCCAUCACCAGUAUUAGUUCUGGGCUGAAGAAGAUUUGAGCAGCAGCUACAUCUACCUUUUUCUGUAGAAAUAUAUCUUCAAGGUGGGGAGCUUUGUAAACCAAUAGCAUUGUGCUCCUUGGAAGGACCAGACGGUGGGAUUGGCGUUGCUUUGGGUAAGAAUGCGAAAAAGCUACUCUCAUGCAGUUUCUGAUGACCAGAGGCAGGCUUCAAUACCUUAAAAACUUGACUGCUCUGAAGUACUCUUGAGCUUUGAGUGUGGCCGACCAGAAAGACGAGCAGCAAUAGCACUACUACAACUAACAGAUCAUGUCUCUUUCCCAUUUCACCAAAUAAAUUAUUGAAAUGAAAAGCCUAUCUAUACAGGAAGAAAUACAACAAGAAGAAGCAAAUCGAGAGAGAGUGAGAGGGACGGGGGUGUAUGUUGUUGUCAAGCCUGACGAGUGCAAGGAUGUGAGGUUACUAAUGUGGCACAAACUACAAAGACUGAUUACUUGUACUUUAUAGAUAAUUAUACUACUGGGUAUGUAACUGAAGCGGUUGAGAGUAUUUACUUCUGCAUGCACUCGGAGAUUUUGUAACAAGCUAAGUAUUUUUAUGAAUGGCUUUGGGGUACAAAUGAAAAAUUGUGAUAUGAAAUGGUAUAUAACUGAAGCGGUUAAGAACAAAUACUUUUGCAUGCACUCAAGAUUUUUUGUUGAAGGAAGAAGCUAAAUAUUUUGGUGAAUGGCUUUGGGUAUACAUGAAUGAAAGUUUGUAAUGUGAAACGGAGGUAUAAAUACAAAACAACGAGGAGGGAAUGUGCAAACACGAGGAAGUAAAUGCAGGAACCGAGUCAUGUGCCUUUAGAUGGAGAUGUUGGCUCUGUGAAUUUGUGUGUGUGUGUGUGUGGGGGGGGGACUACUGACUAAGCAAGGUGCAAAAUCAAACAAAGGUAACAUGUAGUAAUAGUGUUUGAAUCUUUCUUUUUUCUUUAAGAUUACUUGAACGGGUCUUUAGGAGGUGUGCUUCUGAGUCAUCACCAAAGUUAUGAAUGGAUAGAACAAAAAGGCCAAAUUAAAAGAUAUAUGGUGGGAAAGUUUUAAGGGAACGAAAUUUGGGAGUAAAUAAGGGGAGGCUGUUGGAUUGGUAGGUGAAUGUGUGGGUCUCUAUCAUAAUUAAUGGCCGACUAACAGUUCUGAUGUACAUAUCUUGCACAAAUUGAAAAACAUGUCCCUGUCUAGUUCUAACAUUAAGGUAGAGUCUAUAAUCUAUCUAGGCCCUUUCAUCAUAUGAUGUCACAAGUUACAUUCCCAAAUUCAACAAGGAUUUCACUUUAGAUCACGUAUAUGUUAGUCGGAUAUGAUAUAUCAAUUAUCAACUGGUUACGCAUUUCAUGAUGAAAUUGCAGUAAUAGUCAUUUAACUUUAAUUCAAUUGAAGUAAUAAUCGUUCAACUAAAAAUUUGUGAUCAUUGAUCUCUUAAUUCAUUAAAAUGUACAACUAUGGUCCUUUUCGUCAACUCCAUAGAACUUUCGUCAUAAUGAGUCAUGUGCCACACACAUGACGCUAAAGGGGCUAAUAUGAAAACCAAAUGAAAAAAAUUGUAGCAAUGGUCCUCAACUUUAACCCAAUUGGAGAAAUUGUCCCUCAAAUUUAACCAAAUUUGAGAAAUGGCCCCUCAAUUUUAAUCCAAUUGUAGCAAUUGUCCUUCCAACAUGAUUUGUUUGUACCAUACUUGACCAACCCCGAAACUACUAAGCACCGGUCAACAUUAUAUUGCCAAGGACCCACAAGAGUCUCCCUCCAACCAGGAGGCCAAUCACAACGCGACACAUGUCAACAUCAGAGGCCAAUCAUAACGCAACACGUGUCGACAUCAGAGGCCAAUCACCGCACGACACGUGUCAAUGUUAGAAUGAAACUAGAAACUCUCUUCUAUAAAUAGAGAUCAUUCUCUCACAAUAUUUCAUAAUGUCAUUUGUAUUAAAUCAUUCACUAGUACUCGCGAAAGGAGAGCUUGAACCUAUGUACUUGUCAUAAUUAAUGAGAACUCCCCUACUCCGUGGACGUAGCCAAUCUGGGUGAACCACGUACAUCUUGUGUUUACUUCCCUGUCUCUAUCCAUUUGCAUACUUAUCCACACUAGUGACCGGAGCAAUCUAGCGAAGGUCACAAACUUAACAUUUUCUGUUGUACCAAAGUCCUCACUGAUUUUUUGCAUCAACAUUUGGCAUCGUCUGUGGGAACGACACUUAUUCCCACUCUCUUUAGCUUUGUUAAGCUGGUUUUCACCAUUCGUACAUUUUCUUUUGACCAGGCAUCCAUUUCCAACAUGGGGAGUGAAGAAAGCCAUAGCACACAGAAUAACACUCAUUUUGCACCUGGUGCGAAGCAACGAAAAAAGGGACAAAAGAAGUUUGCUCUUCAGGCUAAAGUCAAUGAGCUGGAGGCUUAGAAUAACAAGAUAGCGAUGAAGAAUGAGAUCCUCCAAGAGCAGUAUGAGAAGGUCUUCGAGAUGCUCCAUGAGGCUAGAUAUACUAAAAGACACGAGCUCAUCACCCCUGUGGAAGUCAACCAUCAACUGGGUGCCCCUCAACACGGAAGGUCAUUUACACUCGACAUGGGUAUUUCAGGAGCAAGCUACAUAUCGAAAUGGUGACCAACAUGAGACUUCUCAACCCAGCUGCUUCGACCCGAAGUAGGAGGAGUGAAGGAAGGCACCUCCUUACAGAAGGAGUGGAAGGAUCGAAAGUUGUCUUUUGCGACUGUCGAGAUUUUUUAAAGCAACGUCGAGACAAUCCCAUCCAUGUAAGCUCGAAGAUCAAUGACCCAAGGGUCUCUGAAAGACUCGGUCCCCUCUUAUGUCCCAGACCGACUACCAAUUUAGGGAAGGGGUAACAAGUCCUAGAGAAACAAAAAGGUAUAGGGGACUCAGAGAUGUUCCGACAGACAUACCUUGGAAGUCAGUACGGCGAGUCCAGGGAAAAAUCACAUGCUCUUGAUCAAACCUUCAUACUUCCAAGAGGAGAUAGAGAUUUACGAAAGAAAGCUUCAGUGGUACAUGACUCCAUUUAGGACCCUAUUUUCCUACAGCUCCUUAAAGAAGUAAACAAGUUGAAGGCCGAACGACAAGCUGAGAUACCUGAUUAGAACCAACCUAGGUCUGGUCCUCUUACAAGGAGGAUCUUCGACACCUCCCUCCAAGCAAAGACAAAGCAGAAGCUUGGCUUGCAACUCUAUACUGGAAAGGAGGACCCGAUUGAACACCUUAACUUCUUUGAGUCCACCAUGGCAUACCAGAUGCACAUCGACGAAGAGCAAUGUCUUAUCUUCCCCUCCACCCUAUCUGGCGAAGCUCUAAACUGGUAUUGCCUUCUUCCACCUAAGACGGUAGACCCAUUUAAGGAUUGAGGAAACUGUUUGUUUCUCAACACAUUUUCCAGACUGAUCGAUUGCACUCUGCAGAUGACUUGUACAUUAUUCGCCAGAAGCCAGACGAGUCAUUACGUAUGUAUGCUGGCCGCUUCAGCCAUGAGUAUUCCCGUUGUGCCGAGGUAGACGACAAGACUACCCUCAAAGCCUUCACGGCAGGCCUACGUGACUGUUUCUUUAAGUACAUGAUCAAUGCAAACACUUGGAAGACUUACUUUGAGGUGAUGGCACAAUCUUAUAACCAUGCCUCCGCCGAGGCAAUGACAUACUAAGAGAAACCCCCAACAACCAUCCCUUAGUAGUAAGUGGGGAGUGGAAGCCAGACCCACCCAAAUGAGAAGACCUCAACCUUCCAAACAGCAGCAGUGCCUCCUCUUGCCUUACUUAAUACUUCGCCAAGUCAACAGACAUAACAAUCUCAGGGUAAAAUGAAAGAUUUCCAUCCUCACCAGUCCCAUUUUAGUAAAAGGAGUAAGGGACAUUAUCGCGAUAACCAAGGGUAUCGCCACGAUAAUGCCUGCCCCUAGGUAGUCAACAUAGUGGGCCAAGCACGUGUCAGGACAGGCCCUACCCCAAGGUAUGAGACAUACAUGCCUUUGAAUGCCACAUGCAUGGCCAUUUACCUUAGCAUAGCACACCUGAUACCGAAGCCAAUGUCGAGGCAAUCGGGUUAUAAGCCCACGAAGAACACAGACAAGUUUUGCUGCUACCAGGAACAUAACGGCCAUGACGGCGAGAAGUGUAUUACCCUUCGUGAUCAUAUUGAAGCUUUAGCACGUGAAAGAAAAAUUGAUCGAUUCCUUCUUCACCCUUCAAGGGAUAACUGUAACCAACGCCAAGUGAAUGUGAUAUAUUCCAUAAGCGGCGGUACACUCAUAUCUGAAUCUUCCAAUAGGGCCAUGAAAAACAGCGAACGAGCUUUAAGGCCUGGCCACCAAGUGUUUCACGUGGAAGACAUCAGGGGAGGCAAGUAUCAAAAGCCUAAAUGGGAUCCAAUAUGUUUCUACCCUGAGGAAGAAAGAGAUAUCAUCUACCCUCACAACGACCCUCUGAUCGUGGAGGCUCAUAUAGCCAACUUUGUGAAGGAUUAUUUUGUGAAAACAUGUUCAUUUGAGCAACAUCUAUAAGCAUGCAAUUAACAAUUAAAGGCGGAAUCAUGCUUGCAUGCACUUAAAAACAAAACAUUAACCAUGAAAUUCAAAGCCUAGUAGAUUGGUGAACCAAGACUCAACUCAAAUCAAAGUGAGUUGAGAAAUAUAUACCUUUGUAGAUUCCUCUUUGCAUAAGCAAAGGCUAAUCACCCAAAGAGAGGGCCUUCAUUCCUUGCAUCUAAAAUCUAUGGAUUUGGAUGGAUGAAAAGGUUUCUCCAAGUUCCCAAAAUUGAGAACCUCUAAGUCUCCACACCAAGGAGAGAUUGGAGAAGAAAAUGAGUGACCUUGGAGUAGUAGUAUGGCUAGAUACACCCUCCAAGGGGCCGGCCUCUUUAGAGAGAAAUGGAGAGACAUGUUCUCUCCAAUUUUCUCCAAAACAAACCCUAAAUGAAUUUUGACUAUAAAGUCAUAUUUAUACCUUAAUUCAUUGGAGUGACAAACUUGUAAAUAAGUCCAAAACCCACUCCAAACUAUAUGGCCGGCCAUUGGGAUAUUAUUGGGCUAUUGGGCCCUUAUGAAUCUUUAUUCAUUAAGUUGUCAUACAACUUAAGUCAAUGGGCUUGACGUUCGAAGCCCAUUGGGCCUAAAGGUCCAAAACUAUCCCGAGGUCUUUAACGAACUUAUUCGUUUGAUUAAUUAACAUAUUAAUUAAUCUUUGCCAUAAAUAAUUAAACCAUUUAAUUAUUCUUACUCAUCUCCAUUGUUUCUUCAAUCUCCACCUUACACGGUGUACGAUCCAUUAGGUUCCUUUUAGCGAGGCAGUGGGCGAUUAGAACUCUUUCAAAUCGAUUGUGAAUUGAAACUUACUUUCAAUUCUCCCUUUAGUGAUUACACACGUUUAGGGCUUCCACAAACCAUGAGUGACACCUAGCAGCAUAUCAUGGUUACCCAAGCUAAUCAGAAGAGGUGGAAAACCUAUUCAGUUUAGGAUUACAAAUGCAAUACGGUCUUUCUCUAAUACAAUACUCUUGACCACAUUGUUUGGUUUGAUAGUUUAUUCAUGUCUACUAUCCAAUGUGAUUCGUGUGCUUAUAUGAUUACCUUGAAUGUGAUUUGGAACGACUUUCCUAAAUCUCAUUCAUACUCUGGCCAGAGGUUCUAAAUCAUAUCAUAGAGUAUUCCCCCUUAAACGGUUUGAAGGUUAGCGAUCCCUUGUUGCGCAUUCACUUGUCUCCAUGGCUAAGUGGCUUAACCCCAACGAUGUCGUGGACACCCCGAUGGGGUGACUUUGACAUAAUCAAAGAUCAAGAACUUAACCACAAGACAACUGUGAUGCCUCAGGUCAAAGGACUACUUUGCAUUAUCCCAACCAUGAGUUCUCAUGUGACAUGAAUAUGAGAACUCUUCGUUGAUCGUGUUCAGUGAACUCAUUCUCUAUUGAGCACCUACGUACUUGUCUUGAUGUCACACACACCAAUGACUCGAGACUAGUCACUCUCCCUGAGAGAAGAUACAGCACGUACUGAUCUUAACGGACUGUCAAUGCCCAAUUGGCAAUCCUAUGAUCAGGAACGUUUAGGAUGUGUCUACGAAAGAAUGGUCUCAUGAAUCUAACUUCUUUAGAUCGCAUUCUCCCAAUCACAUAUUCCUUGGACUUUAUCGUUUAAGCUUAUAACAUUUAUAUGAGACGGCUCAAACAAUAAUCUUUGCCCUUUAUAGUUAAACUAGAUUAGUUUAACAUGUGAAAUGUCUGUAAAGUAUCAUCAUAUGAUUGGUUUUAGAGCACAUUUCCAACACUUUGAAGUAAGAUGAAUCCUAGUAGACACAAGGGCUUUGGUCAAUAUCAUGUUUGCUGAAGCUUUCAAGGCACUUAAUGUAGCUGAACACUUGCUCAAUCGCUUAAUUUCUCCUCUGAUAAGCUUCUCCGGUGAUAUCGUGCAACCUAUAGGGAGCAUACACUUACCUUUCACCAUUGGUACAGGCCCUUACAUAGCUAUCAUUACCACUAACUUCCUGGUAGUUGAUUGCCCAACGGUAUACAAUGUCAUCUUUGGACGCAUAUGCAUCAAUGAUCUCAAGGCCAUGGUAUCCACACAUAGGUUGUUGAUGAAAUUUCCAACCCCCUAUGGCAAUGGUUACAUCAGAGGAGAUCAACUUAGUGCACGGUCAUGUUACAACACUUCGGUCAAGCAACAACACUUGCCUAUGCCCAAGGAAACCUUUUCUAUACAUGACCAGGUCAUAAAGACUAGCCCGGACGAAGCCAACUUGGAUCUUCACAGUAGCAACAGUCAACCUGAUGAUCCUCGAGAUGACUCUUUGAAGAGCUGGAGAAGGUUUUUAUCUCAAAAAAUUAUCCAAAUCGCAUGGUGAAGAUUGACACUACCUUGUCACCACAUAUUCGGUUGGCAUUGAUCUCUUUUUUGCAAGAGAACACUGAGGUUUUCGCCUGGUCAUACGAGGACAUGCCAGGCAUCUCGCCCAAUAUCAUCUGUCAUCGCUUAAAUAUUGACCCCAAGACCAAACCAGUGAGACAGAAGUGAAGAUCUUAUGAUGUUAAACGGUACGAGGCAAUGAAGGCAGAAGUUGAAAAACUCAAAGGCAUAGGCUUCGUUCGCAAAGUCAAUUAUCCAAUGUGGGUAGCAAAUGUUGUCCUUGUUAAAAAGAAUCUGACCAAGGAAAGUCUCCUGCUCCAAAAGGUCUUGUGGAGAAUAUGUGUCGAUUACACCGACCUAAACAAAGGAUGCUCGAAGGAUAGCUUUCCUCUUCCUCUCAUAGACAGACUUAUGAACUCUACGGCAGGGUGUGAACUCUUGAGCUUCAUGGAUGUUUACUCAGGAUACAACCAAAUCCUCAUGAACCCUCCGGACCAAGAACACACAACCUUCACUACUGAUAGGGGACUAUAUUGCUAUAAAGUCAUGCCCUUCGGCUUAAAGAAUGCAUGAGCGACUUAUCAGAGAUUAGUCAAUUCAAUGUUCGCUGAACAGAUUGGGAAGAGCAUGGAAGUUUACAUUGAUGAUAUGCUAGUUAAGAAUAAACAUGCUGAGCAACACAUCACCAACUUAUCUGAAACUUUCACCAUUUUGAAGAGGUAUCGAAUGAGGUUGAACCCCAACAAAUGUGCCUUCGGCGUAGGCUCUGGAAAAUUCUUAAGCUUUAUGAUAAGCCAACGAGGCAUUGAGGCUAAUCCUGAGAAGAUUAAAGCAAUCCUUGAAUGAAUGAACUGGUAACUUCAAAAGACAUCCAGAGCCUUACUGGUAAGGUGGCAGCCUUAACUAGGUUUAUCUCGAAGGCCACAGAUAGAUGUGCUUCUUUCUUCAAAUCACUUAAGGGAAGUAAGAAGUACAUUACAUGGACUGAUGAAUGUGUCGAGGCAUUCAAAAACCUCAAGGACUACAUGAGUAAAGCCCGUCUGCUCUCUAAACCUGAAGUUGAUGACAUUCUUAUUAUCUAUCUAUCAGUAUCAUCUUGAGCAGUAAGUUCCGUUUUCAUUUGAAAGGAUGGUAAUGUUAAAUGGCCUGUCUACUACGCUAGCAAAGCCUUAAAAAAUGCAGAGACACGAUACUCCAACAUUGAUAAAUUGGCUUUAGCAUUGGUCAUGUCUGCUCGAAAACUUCGUCCUUACUUCCAAGCACACUCCAUCAUCGUGCUUACCAAUCAUCCUCUUCGACAGAUACUCCAAAGUCCUGACACUUUCGGGCGAAUGAUCAAAAUGGCGAUAGCAUUGUGUGUGUUUGACAUCUCUUACCAACCAAAGCCAGCUAAGAAAGGCCAAUCAGUGGCAGACUUCAUCGCCAACUUCACAUAUCCUGUUGACAUUGUUUCUAUGCCCAAAAAAAGUGGUUUCAUUACCUUCGGAAGCUUAGAAAAUAGAACCAACAACCCCAGCAUGGAGUCUAUAUGUUGAUGGCUCGUCUAACCAACAGGGUUGUGGAGCAGGACUAGUCUUUACGACCCCUGACAAAGUGGCGAUGAAGUAUGCUUUUCGUUUCAAAUUCAAGGCGUCGAACAAUGAGGUCGAAUAUGAAGCCCUCCUAGCAGGCUUACGUUUGGCCAAACACCUUGGGGUUAAACGAAUUGAUAUCUUCAGUGACUCCUAAUUGGUUGUUAACCAGGUCACCAACAACUUUGAUGUUAAGGAUAGCUUCAUGGCAGCAUAUCUGGCACAAACACAAUUGUUGCUCAAACACUUCCACUACCAGAUCACCUAAAUUCCUUGAGCGGCAAACAAUCAUGCAGAUGUUUUGGCUCACCUCGCCUCAGCGGUGGAAGACAAGAUUAGGAGAAAAAUUCAGGUCGAAUUGUUGGCAGCACCAAGCACCAUGGCUGCGGAAGUGUGCAACUUACAACAGGGGGAUAGUUGGAUUACCCCGAUUUAUAGAUUCCUUGCUCAUGGCACCCUUCUAGAUGAUAAAGUCCAAGCUAAGCAGAUUCGAUACAAGGCUACCCGUUACUUGAUCAUUAAUGACCAACUCUACAAGCAGGGUUUUAACCUGCCAUACCUAAGAUGCCUUACGCCCGCGGAGGCGAAAACUGUCAUUCGGGAAAUACAUGAAGGAGUCUGCGGAGAUCAUGAUGGAUUUCGAUCCCUACCACACAAGGCUUUUUGCCAAGGAUAUUACUGGCCAACACUCUAUCAAGAUGCCAUCAGAAUAUCUCGCUUAUGUGAUAAGUGUCAACGCUACGCAACUAUUCCUUACUCUCUUCCCGAGCCGCUCACUCCUAUGAUCAGCCCUUGGCCCUUCGCCCAAUGGGGACUUGAUUUGAUUGGCCCAAUGCCUACAGGGAAGGGCAAGGUCCGCUAUGCAAUCGUUGCAGUUGAUUACUUCACAAAGUGGGUUGAAGUAGAACCUUUGGCAACUAUUACUGAGGCAAAAAAUAGAAGACUUCGUAUGAAGGAACAUCCUUUGCAGAAUCGACAUUCCUAAUGCGAUAGUCACUGACAACGGGCGGUAAUUGGACAACAAUAAGUUCAGGAUGUUCUGCUCUAAGUUCAACAUCAACUUAUGUUUUGCCUCCCCAGCUCAUCCCCAGUCUAAUGGAUAAGUUGAAGCCAUCAACAAAAUAAUGAAGCGAACUUUGAAAACUAGCUUGGACAAGGCUAAAGGUUGUUGGCCAGAAUUUAUACCCCAAGUUCUUUGGUCAUACCACACUUCGUAUCGGACGUCAACAAGAGAAACCCCAUUCUCACUUGCCUUUAGUACAGAGGCAGUUGUCCUAGUGGAACUUGAGCAAGCAAUGUUUCGAGUCAAGAACUACAUGCAAAGCAAAAAUGACAAACAACUUACCCUUAACUUAAAUCUAGUCGAGGAACACAGAAACCAGGCUCACUUGAGGAAUGUCGCCUAUAAGUAGCGUAUCUCCAUUUACUAUGACUCAAGGGUCAAACCUCGUUCUUUCAAAGUGGGGGACUGGGUAUUGAAGAAAAGAUUACUCUGCGACAGAGUCCCGAGUGAAGGAACACUUAGUCCAAACUGGGAUGGACCGUUUGAAGUUGUUGGCAUCGGUCGCCAUGGCUCCUACAAGUUUAUAAGCUCCAAUGGCAAGACCCUUGGCCAUCCAUGUAACGCUGAUCACUUGAAGUACUAUUACAAGUAAACUCACAUUGUACAAGUGUUAAGCUUCAGCCGUUCGACAUCCUAUGUAACGAAGACCAUUUGGCAUGAAUUCAAUAAAGAGGUGAUUUAGACAACUCAAUCCUAAUCCUCUUACAUUCCUAGCAAUGAAACACUCGGGUUCAAAGCUUCAACAUGAAUGCUCCCAACAGGAAAUAAAGUUUAAGUAUAUGUCAACAAGACUAUACAAAUACGAACAACUUCACAGUGUAUUCGUUCAAUCUGACCCAAGUUAUGGCUUAUAUCAAACAAAGGAUUUGCUCAAAUAUAGCCAGGCAUUCAUCAAUGAUGGUGCAAAUACUUGGUAAUUAACAUCAAACUAUACGGCGUAAAGUUGUAAGCAUCCAUAAAUAAAAAGCUCUCAGGCUUACAACAUGGCACAUGCCAUACAAAUAACAAACUAGUACAUCCAGAGUACAUGGCACAUGCAUCAAAAACAACAAACUAGUACAUCUAGAGUACAUGGCACAUGCCACACAAACAACAAACUCAUACAUCCAGAGUACAUAUAGAAAAAGAGGGCACUACGAGUCAUCCUCAUCUGAGGCCGAACCCUUGACAAUAUCACUUUACGUUUCAACCCCAUUGCCAUCACCACCUUCCUCAGCAUCCCCAGGACCAUCCUCACUCUCCUGAGACUGCUCACUGAUACUAGCCUCAUUAUCAAAGUCAUCAUCACUACUAGGAUCAACUGCGAUGACGAAAGCUUCACCUUUUUGUCGGUACUCAUCCAUCUCAUCACGGUACUUUCGGAUAAUUCUUCCAUUGUCGUAACGCUCAAUGACGGCCAUCCAUUUCCUUUUCUCAAAAUUAGCCGCCCGGAUGCAGUGAGGUCUAAAGGCAUCGUGAAAGGCCAGGGAACCUAAAAACUCAUGCACAACAGCAUCCCUCUCAGUUGGGAUACUCCUCUUCAGCCCAAAAACCUCAACCAAGGCACUAUCCAACUCCCCUUUAACCUUGGAAACCUCAAGGAUGGUUGUCUCCAACUGUUCCUUAGUCGUUUCCAAUUGUUUCUUGAGCCUCACGUUCUCACCAUUCCGCCUUUUCAAACUCUCAAAGUUUUCAUCCUUAAGGCGGAUGGCAUCAGCCAAAGCUUUGCUCAUUUUUUUGGUGUCAUUCACAAGCUGCUUAUUCUCUUUAAACUUUACCUUGUACCGCUCGACCUCUCGUAAUCUGUCAUUGUACUCGGUCAUGACCUACAUGACAAGAUGAUUGUCACUACCAAGAAAAAGAGGGGAGAAAGCAAAGAAAUGACAGAGUAACACUUACAUAAGAAGAUAGCCUUAUCAUCCGGUCACGAUCUGAUUCGUUCUCAUCUAGCGGCUCACCAAGCUCAUUAACAGUGGAUCGACGUCCUGCCAGGCAAUUAUUGACAUACCUAAAACUACUUGGCUGUAUGGCAACUUUCAAGUUCUUCCAAUAAAUGUUGCCAACCUCUUCCUUGUACUUUCUUUUAUGGCUAGAGCUAGGGCCACCUUCUUGGUCAGUAGACUCCAUGGUUGGAGAAAAUAUGGGAUUGAUGGUAAAAAGAGGAGGCAACAAUCGUCUUUCCUCCUAUACAACUAUGGCAGCAGCACACCCGAUGGCCUCAGCUUCAGCCUUUCUUGAGGCAGCAAUCUUGAGGACCUUCUCUUGUGACUUAGGUUUAGGGGUUGGCCUCACCCGAUGCUUACGAGCUCUCUUGUGAAACAAAAUGUCGUCUACGGGAACUAACAUGGGUGCUUUCUCUUUAUUGGCACUAGUCUCCCCUUUCUUGCCCACUUUCUCCACUGAACAAGAAAAAUUAAAGUAAGGAAUGCAACUUUGUAAAAGAAAGAGGGGACGAAAUGAAAGACACAACUUACUUGCUCGUCUCUGGCACUCCGACACUAGGGGUUGGAAACUAUACUUUCGAAAUAAGGGUCGUAGCUUGCCCAAAUGUCUAUCCUCUUUAGGCACCCUCAACAUCUUCUCUACGUCAGCUAGCUUCCGUCCGGACAGCUUGAUGGUUUCUCGCGUCACUGCACGGAGAAAAAUGUUAGAAGCAAGAGAAAAUCACAACAAAUAGCAAAUAAUGCAAACAAGGGAUACAUUACAACCUACAGUCUGGAAGUGAGUAGGAACACGUCGCUCAGGCGUUACACCUUUAGCAUACUCCCAAUCAUUUUAAAGAAAGCACCAACAGUUUUUCCAAGUGCAAUACACAUUUUUCUUACCAAAGACAAUACGCUCUCUCUCACUCCAACAUGCACACUCGGUAUACCUAGUGCAUGCUUUCACCGGGCGCAUCUUAUAGCAGUAGCGCCACUGAUGAAAGGAAGGCUCACCUAACCCACAUUCCAUCCAAAUAAUAUAAAACCCGAUCAAGGUAUCCCAAAAACCAGGGUAGAGUUGGCUAGACGCAUAUCCAAUGAAAGACAACAUCUGUUGCAACCACGGGUGCAAAGGCAGCUUCACCCCUAAAAUCAAUAAUAUCUGGGUAUAGAACAUAACAUGACCUUUGGGCGGUUUAUAGGACAAUUCUUCAUGAUGCACCAAACGCAUUCCUACACUACGGGGGAUACAACAUGACUGCCUUAGGGCCUCAAGCUGUUUUUCGCUAUCUAACAAGUUUUGCACUAAAUGGUCUGCUGUGAACUCAAAGCGAAAUAUGGGUAUGGCGUCACAAACAACCCCCUCACCCAAUCUCGAAUUUUUUUUGUACAAGACUUCAACAAAGGCCCUGAAGACUCCAACAUUGCAAGCUCAAACCUAGAGUUAGAGUUAGGGGAGCCCUCAUCACUAGGACUUCCAAACUCUGAUAUCUACAACAAACAAAAACAAACUUUAUCACUGCAUGAAAGAUCAAAACAUAAGGAAGUUCCUAGGGCAUGAAAAAAAACUCAAUCAGUUCAUUAUGUUCUCAACCAAAUACAUGAACACUCAAACAAUUCAACAAGAAUGAAAGUAUGCGAUCUAGUAGAGAAGACCACCAACCUGAAGAUAGUGCAAAGUAAUGCCGGAAUCUCUGGAAUCUCUCACAACUAUAAAAGCACUCUGUCUCCAAAAAUCACUACAAAAUGAGCAAAUGAAGACAAUGAAAAGAGUGUAAACUUAUCAUUCUUAUAGGGUUCAACAUGGUCAAAUAAAUUCAAAAUUCAAAAUUCAAACCAUGAGAAAACCCCACAUGGAAAGUCUUCAAACUUCCACACAAUCUAGGGAGUUUUCAAAUUUCAAACUUGCAGCACCCCCUCCCCCUCUCAAGAAAAAUGGGGGGGGGGAGGGGGUGGGAGGAGGUGAACACAUUAGAUUCAUCAAAGGAGUUCAACCAUAAUUCUCAAAAGCUUCACACACUCUUGAUCAAGACAGUGUGAAGCAAAACCAAUUUAUGGUGCCAACAAGAGCUUUAUCAAUAGAGGGCAAUCACAAUUCUCAAAAGCUUCACACACUUUUGAUCAAGACAGUGUGAACCAAAACCAAUUUAUGGUGCCAACAAGAGCUUCAUCAAAAGAGUUCAACCACAAUUCUUAAAAGCUUCACAAACUCUUGAUCAAGACAGUGUGAGGCAAAAAACCAAUUUAUGGUACCAACAAGAGCUUCAUCAAUGGAGGGCAACCACAAUUCUCAAAAGCUUCACACACUCUUGAUCAAGACAGUGUGAAGCAAAGUCAAUUUAUGAUGCCAACAAAAACUUCAUCAAUUGAGGGCAACUACAAUUCUCAAAAGCUUCACACACUCUUGAUCAAGACAGUGUGAAGCAAACCAAUUUAUGGUGCCAACAAGAGCUUCAUCAAAGGAGUUCAACCAUAAUUCUCAAAAGUUUCACACACUCUUGAUCAAGAUAAGCAAAACCAAUUUAUGGUGCCAACAAAAGCUUCAUCAAUGAAGGGCAACUACAACUCGUAGAAAGCUUCACACACUCUUGAUCAAGAUUGUUCGAAGCAAUUUCAAUUUAUAUGGUUCAUCCAAACCUUCGACUACUACAAGGUGUGGCUUGCAUCACAAUCUCUUACUCAAUUUUGUGGAAGUAAAAUUUGUAUAUGUUGUCUCUCCCACAUUUUCAAAUUUCUAAUUUCCCAAAAAAAAAAAGGAAAUUGGGAAAUUCAACAAAGCUUCAUCAAUGGAGGACAACUACAAAUUCUCAAAAGCUUCACACUAUCUUGAUCAAGAUAGUGUGAAGCAAAAUCAAUUCAUGGUACCCAACAAAGCUUCACCACAAAAGCUUCACCAACAAAAACUUCAUCAAUGGAGGACAACUACAAAUUCUCAAAAGUUUCACACUAUUUUGAUCAAGAUAGUGUGAAAAUCAAUUCAUGGUACCCAACAAAAGCUUCAAAUCCGAAGCUUCACCUACAAAGCUUCAACUCCAAAGCUUCGCCUACAAAAGCUUAAACACAAAAGCUUCACCCACAAAACUUCAACUCCAAAGCUUCACCUACAAAGCUUCAACACAAAAGCUUCACCCACAAUAGCUUCACCUACAAAAGCUUUACCCACAAAAGCUUCACCCACCACCAAAGCUUAAUAUAAAAUAUAUAUAUAUAUAUAUAUAUAUAUAUAUAUAAAUUUUCAGAAAUUUAAAAAUUCAAAAAUUCAAAAAUUCAAAAAUUCAAAAAUUCAAAAAUUCAAAAAAUCGAAAGAAAAAAAAAAUUGCCUAGGCCUCAUCUUCUUUGGGCCUAACAACUUUCAUAACAAAUAUAUAUGAAGGAGGAGUUUUGGGCUACCAUGUAAAAAGGAAAUGCCUCAUUCGUCAACUCCCUCGACCGGAGACUUGGGGGACUCCUACCAUAUGUUACUGCACCUUGAUACUCGGAAGUCUCACGACCACUUAGUGACUUGGAUUUUUCAAGUCUCCAAUCGAGAAGUUUUCCUCACUCGGGAAAUUAAGGGAGCACUACCUCAACAUACAUGCUUCACUCACAAAGCUUCAACAUAUAAGUUUCAACAAAAGAAAAAAAUUCAAAGAACUUAGUGAAGAAGACUUUGGUGUAUUUAACACAAUACGUUGAAAUGAAGCAAAACUUAUUUAUUAACAUCUCCGAUAAGUUACAAAUAUGUACAUAUACAUGAGUCAAAAUAAACAAACAAGAGAGAACUUUCAUAAAGGUUGCUCAUGAAAAGUCUCAGCAGUCGGCAGAGCCCUAGAAAGAUAAGGCAUCAGAGGGUGAUCAUUCAGAGCCUUAGUACUGGACAGAACCCCAGAAUGAGGAGGCAUCGGAGGUUGAUCAUUUGGAGCUUCAUUACGCGGUACAACCCUAGAAGAUGAAGGCAAUAAAUGCCUUUGGAACAAACCCACAAACCUCUGAUGAUCAAAUAAAAUCUGACCAUUAGAUUCAUGCAUCUGGUCAAACUUACUUUUCAUGUUUGUAGCAUAGUCAUGUGCGAGCAUGUGCAACUGUUUAUUCUUAUGCUUGAGCCCUCUAAUCUCCUGUUUGAGACUUAUCACUUUAGCCGCCAAUGAUUCAACUUGGCGGGUUCGAGCAAAUAAAUGUUGGGCCAUAUUAGACACAGAACCUGUACACUGAACAUUAAGAGCCAGAUAAUCCUUAAUAACCAACUCAUCAGACCGUUUGGAAAGUAGUCUGUUAUCUUUAGGAGUGAGAAGGUUCCUGGACACCACCGCAGUGGUCAUAUCAUUCUUCAUCACAGAGUCCCCAACGGUAAGAGUACCAGUAGAGGAUAAGAAGGAUUGGCGCCAUAUGUUGUCUUGAGAAGGCAUGGCUACCUCUACACCAAAGUUCAAGUCAAAAUGACGGUUGGAUGGGCCAAACAUUUUCAGAAAUGAUGAAGGAGAAAUGAGGUCCAAUAAAUCUCUAAAGUACGAAAAUAAAGGGAAAAUUCUUACAAGCAAUAACUCUCUAAACGUACUUCUUACACACAAUUGGUGCCCUUAUAAAAGAAAAGGCAACAUGGCCGUUUGUUCAAAAAUCGAAGAGGCAACACUCUCCGGAUUUCGAGAAGCAGAUUUUCUUGAGUAAAAUAUGUCGACAAUUCCCACACGCAACAUCAGCACCUCAGGUACUGCAGAUAACUUUACCAAAGAUCUCUGACAAAGUUUAGACACAUAAAUUUUGAAGGUCCAGCUACCCUACCAUUACCCACAAGGGUAAAGAAACAUCACCACUACUUGAUAACUGGAAAGUCCUUGUGUGUGCCAACCUCCGUGCUCCGUGGCAAGACCGACUGGCAAAAAUGCCCAACCUUUACUCACAUCGAGAAAACACUCCCAGUAGGAUUACUUGCUCAAAAAUCGAAGAAGCAUUGCUCCCCGAAUCUCGAGAGCCAAACUCCCACCAAGAUGGCUUCCUAAAAAAUCGGAGAGGCACCACUAACUGACUAUCGAGAGCCAGACUCACAACAGGAUUGUUUUCCCAAAAAUCGAAGAGGCACCGCUCUCCAAAUCUCGAGAGCCUGACUCCCAACAGGAUUGCUUUCUUAAAAAUUGAAGAGGCACCGUUCUCCGAAUCUCGAGAAUCAGAUCCCCGACAAGAUUGCUUGUUCGAAAACCGAAGAGGCACUGCUCUCCAAACUUCGAGAGCCAGAUUUCCUUGGAUAAAGCUUAUCUGCAAUCGUCACAAGCAACAUCGGCUUUCCAGAUACUACAGACCACUUUUUCGAAGUGCUCUGAAAAAGUUAAAACACGUGAAUCUUGCAACUCCCACUACAUUGCUAUGACUGAGAAGGGUAAAGGAAUAGCGUUACUACUAGCUAUUGGGACAAUUUCUAUAUAUGUCGACCUCCAUCCUCCACAACCAGGCAUACCUGUAAAUAAAAAAAAAUGCUCAACUUUUAUUCACAUCCAAGAAGGCACUCCCAAUAGAGUCUCUCGAAAUACUCAGCUUCUUCCCCCUCCCCCCCCCCGGCGAUAAUACUUAUGCAAACAAGUCACACCAAAGUAAGAGUAUCUCAUAUCAUGAGGGUUAAAAGAAAAAGUAUCUCAUAUCGUGCUUUUUCCCUGUAUUUUCCUUUGCCCUUACUCUUACCUGCAGGACAAAGAGAAAAAACAUAAUCAGUCAGAACCUAAAAUCAAACUUCCGAUCUGGAACUGAUUGCCCGAAAUAUUUGCAUGGUUGUUUGCCUAACAUUGCUCUCGAGUACUCAUCCUCAAUUGUUGUCAAGGUCAUAAAGUCCUUCGGCAAAUACCUCAGAACAGUUAAUAUGAUAUUGACGUUUCACACUGAAGCUGCCACGCAUGGAUGAGUUGCUGAGAAGUAGUGCUUUGAAGAACCAUUUAAAUGCAAAGGUUGAAUUCCAUUCCUACAUCGAGGACAAAUGUUGUAAGAGAUUGAAACAUAAUGAUCAAUGAUGAGCUAGAACAUAUCACUACAACACGAUGCCCUUCCUGCAGAACCACACAACCCAGACAGAGGAGUCUAAAUCAAAUCCAAACCCAGCAUCGCUGCCCUAUCCGAAGAACUUGAGAAUCUUCAACAACCUUUUGCUGACACCAUCACCAAAUAGCAAAGCUUCGCCAUACCACACCCACUACUUUAUCAACAGCAAAAGUAUCCCAUAUCAUUAGGGUCGAACGUACUCUAGAUUUGAUGGACUUGUUUUGACCCUUAAAUUCUUAAGUCGGCCUUAUACUUUGGAGGAAACCAGAAAACCCUUCAACCCAAUUCAAGAAUAAGCUUGUGGAAAGUUACUUCUUCAAAAGUAAAAGUAUCUCAUAUCAUAUCUUCUCCAUUUGCUUCUCCUUAUCCAUGUUGCUGUUUACGACACAAUGAGAAGGAGAACAAUCAACCGGAAGCCGAAGUCGAACCUCUGAUCCAGGUUGCUUGCUUGGAAGUCUGAUUGCUUACCUUGUCUGUUACCUCAUUCGGCAAAUCUCCUAACUCGGCGACUUGGAUGACUCUUACUAUAAGGUUUGUAUCGCACUUGACCAAGCCAGAAAUUACAAGUAAGCUUCAAUUGAUACAUUACCUUGUGCAUCUUCAUCGAUUAAAGAUACCACCCUUGGAUGAAGGAAAAGUACUUCCAGAGAAGAUGCCACAUCUACAUAUAAGACAGAUAAGGCAAGUGAAAAUGAUACCACACUUCGGUACUUAGAAGUUUUGUGAUUACUUAAUGGCUUGGAUCUUGCAAGUCCCCAAUCGAGAAGCUUCCCUCACUCGGGAACUUAAAGGAGCACUGUUUGUACCAUACUUGACCAACCCCGAAACUACUAAGCACCGGUCAACAUUAUACCACCAAGGACCCACAAGAGUCUCCCUCCAACCAGGAGACCAAUCAGCGACACAUGUCAACAUCAGAGACCAAUCAUAACGCGACACGUGUCGAUAUCAGAGGUCAAUCACAACACGACACGUGUCAAUGUCAGAAUGAAACUAGAAACUCACUUCUAUAAAUAGAGAUCAUUCUCUCACAAUAUUUUCUAAUGUUAUUUGUACUAAAUCAUUCGCUAGUACUCACUAAAGGAGAGCUUGAACCUAUGUACUUGUGUAAACCCUUCACAAUUAAUGAGAACUCCUCUACUCCGUGGACGUAGCCAAUCUGGGUGAACCAUGUACAUCUUGUGUUUGCUUCCUUGUCUCUAUCCAUUUGCAUACUUAUCGACAUUAGUGACCGGAGCAAUCUAGCGAAGGUCACAAACUUAACACUUUCUGUUGUACCAAAGUCCUCACUGAUUUUGUGCAUCAACAUGACUCAUUUUGAUGGAAUUCUGAUGUUGAUGAAAAAGACCAUAUAUGCAUGUUUUGACUAGUUAAGAGACUAAUGGUCAUGGCAAGUGGCCUUUUACCACAAUGGUGGAAAGGUGUUGAGCCUUUCCAUAGCAGCAUUGGUUCAAAUCUUGUUCGGUGUCCAACAUCCUAAUCUAACAAAUCUAUCAUUUGACAAUAAAAAAGAGACUACUGGUCAUGAAUUUUUAGAACAUCUCUAAAGAAGAUGUCAAAUUUGAAACAUCAAAUUGAUAUUUGAUGGCUUAUGUGGCGAAUUGACAUUUUGUACAAUUUUUUUAUUCACUCGAUAUGUUAAAUGAUAAUUCCAUUCUAAAUUUUUUUUUAUCACUUUGUAGGGUCCAUUUAUUGAGGCAACCAAUCUAAUUCUUAGAAUACACAACAACAUUUAUUAUAUGCAUUAAAUGUAAUAAAAAAAAAUACUAAAUGCAUUUGACAGUAGAAGACUUUGCCUUCAAUUGACUCAACGCCAUGUAGGAAAUUGAAGGCUCAGUUGGAGAGAGUGUGCUGCCAAUUUUUACUAUUAUAUACUUAUACGACAGUUUUGACAUCUCCUUUAGCGAUACUCUUAGUUGAAGAAUCAUUACUCCAUUGAGUUAAAGUUGAUGAACUAUUUCUACAAUUUUCUCGGAUUUCAUUUGUUGUAGAAGAGAUCUAAUGUAAGUUCCAGCUAUGUGAUGGUUAGCCGUCCAUAUACACAUAGCGACACUGUGAAAGUGAUAGUGUAAAGGGAUUACAUUUGAGAGAAACUCUAAUUUGUGGAACAUUGAAUUUGUGAAACAUCAAAAGCUUGAGAGAAACUAUUUUUUUAAUUAUAAUUAAGAUAAAUAAAAUAUAUCAAAUUAAAACUUUAAAUAGUCCUGGAAAACCCUUGAAAGAAAAACAAAACAAGACAUUACAAAAAAAUUGAAAAUUAAUUUUAAGACUUAAAAGGUGUUUUUAACCUAGGAAAUUUUUGAAACAAAUUGAUCCUAUUUUGCAACGACGAGUUGGACUCAUCUCUUUUUUUCCUGUUCAGAAAGGUAUUUUGAACCAUCACUGAAACACUAUUUACACUAAAAUUCACCUUUUUGAUAUGCUCGUUCAGCCUUACAUCAUACACAAGUAAUAUUUAGUCAUUAAAACCUACAUAGUCUAUAUUUUAUCAACCAUCACGCGUGAAUGACUGAGCUUUACAAAAUCAUGCACAAAUAGAGACCAUUUUUUAAGUAUAAUUGGUUUGUGUCCCUCCAUUCUUGGAGGGUGGGGAGGGUUAUGCAUUUGCUGGUUAUUUUAUGUUGGGGGAUAGAAACCCAAUUGGGGUUCACUUUCUUUUGGGAUUUGGACAAAUGCAGACGGGGGCCUCAUGUUAUGUUCUCAAACAGGAAAGGGGUGAUUCAAGUGGUCCCAUUUGGCACUUGCUGUAUAAAAAUAAGAUGCUGGGGAGAGAUGGACUGAUGGAAGGGAAAGCUGAAUCUUUGUGUAAUCAGAUCUCAAACCUACGAGUUUUCAUUAAAGGGAGGGCUCUAUGUCCUUGCAUGUGGACCAGGACAAGGUGAUGUAAUUUGUCUAUAAAUGAUGAAACAGUCGAGUUGUGGGAAAUAUGUAGAUCGAUUGACAUGAAACCUUUUUAUCUUGUCCAAACAGUCAUCAAAUUCUAAUAUGUUGAAAAGCUGUGUGGAGAAUGGAUAUAAUUAGAUGACUAGAUUUCUUCAUAAGUAAUCCAUUUACGUACCUUAGUUAGUGGGGUGUAUAUUGUUUUUCUGCUUCUUCAUAAUCCCAAAUGAUCGUAUAACUAAUAUGGUCAUUGUUUGUACCAUACUUGACCAAUCCCGAAACUACUGAUCACGGGUCAACAUUAUACCGUCAAGGACCCAGAAGAGUUUCCCUCCAACCAGGAGGCCAAUCACAGUGCGACACGUGUCGACAUCAGAAGUCAAUCACAGCGCGACAUGUGUCAACAUCAGAAGCUAAAUGAAACUAGAAACUUUCUUCUAUAAAUAGAGAUCAUUCUCUCACAAUAUUCCUAAUGUCAUUUGUACUAAAUCAUUCACUUGUACUCACUAAAGGAGAGCUUGAACCUAUGUACUUGUGUAAACCCUACACAAUUAAUGAGAAUCUCCUCUACUCCGUGGAUAUAGUCAAUCUGGGUGAACCAUGUACAUAUUGUGUUUGCUUCCCUGUCUCUAUCCAUUUACAUACUUAUCCACACUAGUGACCGGAACAAUCUAGCGAAUGUCACAAACUUAACACUUUGUUAUACCAAAGUCCUCAUUGAUUUUGUGCAUCAACAGUUAUGAUAAGCCAAUGUUCUUUGAUCACAAACUGUUGAGAUGUGAGUGAUUAUGUGUUGACUGGUAGCCAACAAAAUACACUAAGAUAUUAUGAUACAUUUAUCGACAAUAUAGGUACUCUUUAUCAACAAAAUAUGACAUCCUGCACUAUAUGUACAAGACUAACCAUGACUCAUAAAUCCUAAAGCUACAAAGCAAGGCGCACCUCUUCAUGUGGAAACUUGGCAUACCAAUUCAUCCAAAUUACAAUAUGUAGUAUCGUUGAGUCUAUAUGUUGUAAUGUAAGUGAAUUGGUGAUAUAACGUGAUAUUAUUACUGUCAUACUAAAUUUUAUUAACAAAAAUUAAGAAUAUUGUUUUGUCCAAUCAUAACUAUUUUUGUUGACGUUUGCAUGGCACAACCAAAAUCGUAUGUCACGUUGCACUUAUUCUCUAAAGCAAACCUAACUCACUUUAAACUCCUACUGCACUCUCCACGUAUAUUUCAAGUACUUUUUAAGAAGUUAUUUGUAUCAUAUAGAAAACCUUACUCAGAUCGCUACAAUUAGAAGAAAUUAUUAGGUAGUAUAUAUAGGGGUGUGAUAUCCACACAUCUUUUUUUACUUCUCACACACCCUUCUAAUUUUUGGCCGUCGGAUCGGAUAAAAUGAAGAAGAUCAACGAACAUAAAUUAACAAGGGGUGUGUGAGAAGUAAAAAAGGGUGUGUGGAUAGCACUAUCCACACAUCCCUUUUUACCACACAUCCUUUUUUACUUCUCACACACCCUUUGAUAAUUUAUGUCCGUUGAUCUUCUUCAAUUCAUCCGAUCCAACUGUCGAAAAUUAAAAAAGUGUGUAAAAAGUAAAAUGGGAUGUGUGGAUAUCACACCCCUAUAUAUAUUUAUUUGAUGGUCUGAUGGAUGAUGGAUCUCUGUUCGCAAGAGUAAUAAUUCUUCACAAGUUCGCAUCAGAAACAUUGUUAUCAUGUCCUUUAUCUAGUUGUCAUCAUCAUAAGUUAAGGAAAUACCAAAGUAUAUUAGCUUUAGAUACGUUUAACAAAACUAUUCUCUUUUUGGUUUAUAUAUAACCGCCCAACAGUACGUAUUAUUAUCUUCGAAUAUCAUGUGUACGCGUACAUUAGAAAAAUAAAAAGUAAAACAAUUGUUUCUCACAACGGAAAUUCCUAUUGAGUAGUUCGAUAUGUUUGCUCGUAUUAGCAAUAUUAUUUGUUAUCUGGAAAUAGUUGAUGAACCAUUAAGUUCAAUUGAAAAAAAAAAAGUAGGAAGAAUUAAUAGUGGGUUUUACAAAUAUGUUUUCAAUUAAUCAUGAACAGAAACUCAACCAGUAAAAGAAGGAAUGAGUAGAGGAGACUGAUUGUGCCAAAUGAUCCUCCUACUCCAAGCUGCACUGGUUUGUGUGCGUACUCUUAUGAAUUGCAGACUUGCAGAGAGUUGUCCAGCUGCUCUGGCGUAUAUACGUACUUCAAGCUUCACUUACACCAUGUAUGGUAGAGAAUCCCACCACAAAGAAAGAUCACACAACACAAAAAAGGGAUCAUCAAUCAUGAUUGCUUAGAUGAUAGAGUGCCGUGUACAUCAUAAGAUAUAGUUUUCUUUUCGUCCUUUGUGCGGUUACAAACUUACGAGUUUUCGUACUCGAAUUUCAUGUAUUUAUUAAAUUUUCAAGACAAAAGUAGAGCCUUGUACACUGAAUUUGCAAUUAACAAGUCAUUAAGGUGAUCUUUAGACAUGCAGAGGUAAACUUAGCGUCGAAUUUAAGCUAUGUUUUAGCUCUUCAAAAAUUAGAUUUUGUAAAGAAUAGUUCAUGUCGUCUUCAUCUCCAACAUUGGAUGGCUAUAUUUCAAACCCCUUAAUAUAUGUUAUAUUGUAGUGCUAAGUAAAAAUUAUGAUACAACACAUUAUAGAAAUAUAAAUCAAUUUUAAGGAAAUAUGAGGGAGGCUUGUAGGCUAUGACUCACUAAUCAUGAUGCGGGAGCCAAGGCUUUAAAAAAUUAAAAAAAAAUUGAAAACUUCUCGUUGGCAUUGGAAAUUCAAAUAAUAAAGGCAUUGUAAUUUAUUUUAAUGACAUAGGAACUUGUUAAGUCAUUUCUAGAGAGUUUUUUAGGAAGUUGUGGUCUAUUUAUGCUUCUUUAUCUUUAGUUCCUUUAAAUAUUGAUGUAUUAGAAGCCAUUGCUAGACUUGAAUGAAUUAAAAUAUAUUUUGCUUUGUGCAAUUGAAGUGAGUGAUUUCUCCUUCCCCAAUCAAGCAUUUGGCUUGGUCAUCCAUGAUUAACGACGUGAGAUAGCUCCGUUGCCCCUGGUUGAGCGAAUCCCAGGUUAUCUAUUCCCUUCUCCUCGAUACCCUUGGUUCUGUCCUGCAUCAAAUGGCAUUAGAGCAGGUUUUCCGCUGCAGUUGAAAAUCAUGGCUAUGAUUAUCAAUCCGUUUCAAGAUCACAUCGUUGAAGAGAUUAGUUUCAUCGAUUGGAAUUCACCACCAAUUUAUGAUGAAUACGUUGAUGAAGACGAAGUCAAAAAUCAUUUUGUGAAUGAAGUUAAUGACAUCGAGCCUUCCAUGCAUCAAAUGGUAAUCUGUUACUGCUAUUCAUCUUUUGGAUGCUACAAGGAUCUUCAAAGUACUCCAAGCAUGAUGCAAAUGGAGAUGCUUCAGACCUACAAGGAAUGGAUGAUGGCAAGGUGCUACUGAUGUCCCAAAUGAAUUUUGAAAAGAAUUUCAGACAGUCUACAAUUUUUGUGACUUCAACAUGGAUGGAACAAGGCGAUGUCCCUCCUUCCUCAAGCCCAGCAAUGAUGCUUAAAGAGGCCACUCAUGUGAUAAGUUGCGGUUAUGAAGACAAAACUGAAUGGGGUUUAAAGAUAGGUUGGAUUUACAAAUUUAUCAUAGAGAGCAUUCUAAGGGGUUUCAAGAUGCAUUCUAGUGUGGUUGGAGGUCAUUUUCAAUCAAAAAGAAGGAACCAGGGCCUACAACGUUUGAAAGAAUGGGGAAAUGGUAUUUUCAUGAAUAUUUUGUGGCUUGGAACACUUUGAUCGCCGUGAACUUCAUUUUACUAUUGUGGUUGUUGUGGAAGAAUCUGCAAGGUCAUCCCAAAGAUCGAGGAAGACCAAAUGGAACUUGAGGACGAGUUUUCUUCGAGAAUGGGAGAAUGAUGCGGGAGCCAAGGCUUAAAAAAACAAAAAAAUAAACACAAAUUGAAAACUUCUCGUUGGCAUCGGAAAUUCAAAUAAUAAAGGCAUUGUAAUUUAUUUUAAUGACAUAGGAACUUGUUAAGUCAUUUUUAGAGAGUUUUUUAGGAAGUUGUGGUCUAUUUAUACUUCUUUAUCUUUAGUUCCUUUAAAUAUUGAUGUAUUAGAAGCCAUUGCUAGACUUGAAUGAAUUAAAAUAUAUUUUGCUUUGUGCAAUUGAAUUGAGUGAUUUCUCCUGCCCCAAUUAAGCAUUUGGCUUGGUCGUAUGAGUGAAUCCACGAUUAGCGACGUGAGCUAGCUUCGUUGCCCCUAGUUGACGAAUCUCAGGUUAUCUAUUCCCCUCUCCUCGAUACCCAUGGUUCUGUCCUGUAUCAAAUCAAGUGCGAGAUUUCUCCUCUAGAUCAUUGAUUAAGGAGUUCAUAUUUCUCUGAGCUUAUCAUUUAUAAGAAAGAGAUGUUGUAACAAAGUAUCCUAAAAUGAAAUCCUUGGUACCGAAAUGAUUAGUCACUUCUUCAUUCAGUACAGUUUUUUUUUCUUUUCUUUUUUUUUUUUUGCUUCAAAAGGGAUCAUGGCUUCGCCACGGUAAUCUACCUUUUUGAAGGCCAGAAAGACUCACAAAGGCAUUUCAGCCUCUCUGGCCCAUCGUGCUAUUCACAAGUGCAAGGAAUUGAACCCAAGAGAUACCGUGUGAAAUACAUAUCUUAAAUUUAUCCCCAACCACUAGACCACCCUGUGGUGGUAUCAUUCAGUAUAGUUAAUUUGAUAUUUAAUUGAUAUUUCCAACUCAUUUAGUUAUAUACUUUAGUUUAGAUUAAAUUUCCAAACCACGUAGUUCUUUUCCCAAUUGACUUGAUCUGGUCACGGAUUAGUAAUAGAACUUUGAAAUUAUUGAUAAUUAUGUGACAGAGAAAAUCCUUAAAACAGCCCGCCAGAAGAUAAGUGCUAGUUAAUAGAGGUAGGAGCAAACAUUCAUGAAAUGAAAUGUCAGGUUCAUCAGUCUUCUCCCCCACUAUAACUAAUUGAGCUGUAUGUUGAUUAAUUAAGAAGAAUCAAGUAGUUAGGCCCUUCCAUCAUCUUCACCUACUACUAUAAGUUCCAACAAUUAUAAUACUAAUCUAAUUGGGCCAACAGAAAAUUAAUGUAACACCUCAUUCACAACGUACCAUAACUAAUUUAAUGUGAUAUUCUGCAUCCAAUAGGAAGUUUUCAAAUUGAAAUCCAACUUGCUUUAUAUGUAUAGGGUGAAAACGUCAAACAUGUUUGGUGGGUUUUAAGUCAGAUUUGGGUAUUUUAAGUUGGGUUAGAAGGUUUAUUAGUUUUCAGCCAUUAGAUUAAUGCAACGGGCGCGUAGAGUGGUUAGUUUUCUAUUACAUUUUUAACUAGUUAGCGCUUGAACACUCUUGCAUAAUACGUAACAAAUAUAAUGUUUGGUUCAAUAUCGAGGUUGAGGAUGAGAAUUAUAAAUUUUCCAGUUUGAGAUAUAUGGUAUUCGAAUUAAAAGUUUUCUAUCAGAAUUAAAACCAGAUCAAGGAAACAAGAAUAUAGUUGAUAGCCAACUAGGUUAAGUUGGGCAGUUUUGUGUCUUAGAAGAAACGCCGACUCUCGUUCACAUCCAUAUUGAGUUAAGAAAUUAAAGUACAAAAUGCCUAUGAGUCGAACAAAGGAACGUUGAUCUUGGGAAAUUUACAACAGGACGAGAACCUGAAAUCAUCAUUUCAAAUGUGUAGGUUGUUAUAUAUGUGCAUCACAUGACCUCUAUGAUAGCAGUGUUUAUCUAGGAUGCGUGAGAGUGUGCAACGGGCUAGGGCAGCUUGACCAUGCCCAGUUUAAUGUCAACCUAGCACAACACAUCAUGAUUUUUUGAGGACUAGGGCAAGCAUGGGACACGCCAUGGCGUGAGACACGAUUUUCGUUGCACGUCUCUGACGCGGGCACGAGCUCAUUGUGAGCUGGACUCGUGCGAAACCCUACCUACCUCCAAACUACAUGCAACUAAAACGUAGUUUGAAUUAUAUGAUAUCCAAAAUAUCAGAUUUAUAGGUUUACCCUCCCUAUAGCUGGAUGACAUCCCGACUACGGGAGAGGCAAGAAUUCAUUCCAGGGAUUUCAAGUAAUUGACCGUGUCAAGGAAGAGUUGGAGAAUAUUUGCCCCGGUGUAGUGUCAUGUGUGGACAUUCUCGUGGUGGCUGCGAUAGACGCCGUUCUGAUAUUCACUCUUAAAAUAAUUAGUUCUCCGCUUCAACUUUAUUUUACUUUACUUUCCACACACCAUUUCUGGCUUCGUCACUGUUUGGACCUGAUUUUACACAUCGGCCUAAGCAAUCGAGGCCGUUGAGUAAGCAUGGUUCUCAACCGUUGGAUAAGAAAGUUUAGAUAUUAUUGUUAAGAGAUAAUAUUAUGAUUUUUAAUCAUAAUAAUUAUUUUUUUUAUAAGUUAUCCCGGUUUUUUAUGCAAAAUAAAUGGGAUGGAGGCAAGUAGAGUUGUGAUGGGGACGUGAGCUUUGAAUCAUGUUGGUUUGUUUUGCUGGACAUGCAUGCAUGGGAUGUAAAGAUAAUGAAGUGAUAGGGGAUAAAUCCAAACAUGCCAAAACGUGUAAUUUGCAAAAGAAUUGUGCAAUAUGGAGAUUCUAUCCUAAUGCAUGGUUUUUUGGGUUUGGUUUUGUGCACGUGGCAUGCGACAAUGGAGAUGAUGGUUUUGCAUGGUGAUGGCAAUAUGGGUUUAAAGGUUUCUCAUGUUUUUUUAAUAAGAAGCCUAGGUGGGUUAGAUCUCUAGUGAGAUGUGAUAAAGCCUAGGUAGGCUUUAUUUAUCUGAAGGAUAUGUGCGGCGUAUUUGAUACGGGAUCAGGGUCAAUUCCACAAAAUAGAGUUGCAGUUGGACUCUACAAAAUUAUUUGGCCGCGUCACACAACAUUUGCUCCUAUAAAUACAGAGAUAGUGGCAACGGAAGAAAGACCCCUGCAAAUCAAUACAAAAUUGCCCUGCGCAAAUUCUCACAACUUGUGAUUUUUCUUUUUCCUUUUUCGCUGACACAUCUUCCGUUGGCGUCAACAGCACUGUGGAAGCAACCGGUGAUAUCUUAAGUCGGCAUAGAUAGCUCUGUCACCGUAGAAUCAAUCGGUCUCGCAGUAUCUUCCGUUGGCAUCAACAGCACUGCGGCGAGAACGGUUAAUUACCUAUCCAAGUCUCGGUCGAGAAGGGUUUCUGAACCCUUAUUGGUCGAUGUCAUCUCAUCAGCCUUCUCGGCGAAGUGAGGUGUUACACGUUAUUACGUUCGGCAUAUUGAAAGCCGAAUUUGAUAUUGAACUUCGUAAGAAUAGUAACCUUGUCUUCAGGUUCGAGAGCCCAAGAGGCCGAGACGUGUUCCUUUCUCGGCCGCAAUCGCAAGACGCAGAAGUCAGCCGCGCACCCAACGCAACAUCAACAAAUUUACUCCUUGGCCGAGCUCGGCCGACGAGUUGGCACGCCCUGCAUUCACCGAAGGACGUAGUUAGCUCAUUAAUUAUUCGGCCUGCACGCCACGUAGGCUUUGUAGUUUUUAGGGUCAACAUUUUGGCACGCCCAGUGGGACCCAGUGCUAAACUACGAAGUUCACAUGAUCUAUCUCGAUCCGGCUUCAAGGGAUGAGUGUUAUCGCCUAUUAAAGGAGCAAAAACAACUUCUCGAAAGUUUGAGAAGAAUUUCUGAAAGGCAAAAGGCCGAGGGGCAAAUCUCCACUCCGGCCACAACCAAUAUUCGGCCUAAGAAAAGUGAUAAUUUGGCCGAAGAACAAAGGCCACUUGUUGUUUCGGUAGAGACUGAAAAUAUAGUAGGCCUAGAAGAAAAAAUUCAAGUCCCUAAGCUAUAUACAAAAAUUGACUUGGAAAAAGAUUCGUCAAAAGAAUGCUCUAGUGACGAACGAGGCCGAAAUAUUGGCCUAGCCCGAGAAACUACGCCAAUUGAUAUGAUUAUUGGCAAUAAAGCCGAUAUGGAGAAAUCCUGUUCGGCUAAGUUAUUUGAAUUAAAAGCCGAAAUUAUGCUUGGGGGGCUGUUUGGACUCAAAUUUACACCAUCGGCCCAUGUAAUCAAGGCCGUUGAGUGAGCAUAGUUCUCGACCGUCAGAUGGAAAAGUGAAGAUAUUUUUGUUAAAGGAUAAUAUUAUGAUUUUUUAUCAUAAUAAUUAUUUUUUAAUGAUGAAUUAUCUUGAUUUUUUCCUGGUACAAGAUGGAUGAGAUGUAAAUGUAGUUCAAUUUGAUUUGGGAUUCUUGGAGUUAAGACGCGUGGUGGAUUGGGAGCAUCAGAGCACGUUAUUAAGAGUCCUAAUACACUACUGCAUUGUUGGCAAAUGGAAAUUGGCAGAGAUAUUAAUGCUUGCAUAAAGAUGAAGAUGUUAAAUUGGAGAUGGAUAGCCACGUGUGAGUGGAUUUGGUGGAGCCAUGCAUGCAUAUCAUUAUUUCAAGUCAAGAUGCUUAUCGGCACUAAUUGGUAUAUGCUAAUAUGCUAUUAAUUAGCAAGAGGUGGUUGCAUGUUGGUAAGUGAUAACAAUCUUUUUGCAUGAGAUUGUUAUGAAUGAGGACUUUGAUGUUGGCGGCAGCUUUACAACACGAGCCGUCAGGAUGAGGAUGAUACUUAUAAAUACAGAGUCGCAAACAACGGGUAGGACCCCUGCAAAUCAAUACAAAAUUGCCCUGCGCAAAUUCUCACAACUUGUGAUUUUUCUUUUUUCCUUUUUUCGCUGACACAUCUUCCGUUGGCAUCAACAGCACUGUGGAAGCAACCGGUGAUAUCUUAAGUCGGCAUAGAUAGCUCUGUCACCGUAGAAUCAGUCGGUCUCGCAGUAUCUUCCGUUGGCAUCAACAGCACUGCGGCGAGAACGAUUGAUUAUCUAUCCAAGUCUCGAUCGAGAAGGAUUUCUGAAUCCUUGUUGGUCGAGGUCAUCUCAUCAGCCUUCUCGGCGAAGUGAGGUGUUACAAGUGACUACAUUCGGCACGUUGAAAGCCGAAUUUGAUAUUGAGCUUCGUAAAAAUGGUAACCUUGUCUUCAGGUUCGAGAGCCCAAGAGGCCGAGACGUGUUCCUUUCUCGGCCGCAAUCGCAAGACGCAGAAGUCAGUAGCGCGACCCAACGCAACAUCAACAAAUUUACUCCUCGGCCGAGCGCGGCCGACGAGUUGGCACGCCCUGCAUUCACCGAAGGACGUAGUUAGCUCAUUAAUUACUCGGCCUGCGCGCCACGUAGGCUUGGUAGUUUCUAGGGUCAACAUUUUGGCACGCCCAGUGGGACCCAGUGCUAAUACUACGAAGUUCAUAUGUUAUAUCAAGAUUCCAAUCUGGCUCAACGUAGCUGAUUGUACGAGCUCCUGGAGGAAUUGAAAAAACAUAAUGAGGAAUGCAAAAAAUCUUUGGAAGCAGAAAAAGUUCUUCGUGGCCAUAAAGAGAUGCAAAAGUCAUUCGCUUGCAUGGUGAAAAUAAAAGCUCCUGUUACCCUGCAUGGGUAAAUGAAGACAGGGCUCGAUUUAAUGCCUGGCUAGAUGAAGAACGUUUUCCUUACGUUUCUGAUUACAGAUCAAUUCCAUUUGAAAAAUGGUUAGGUCCAAAGGCCGGGGGGCAAUUUUUCGCUCCGGCCACAAUCAAAAUUCGGCCUCAAAAAAUUGUUAAGGCGGCCGAAGAAAUACUUAGGCCACCUGUUGUUUCGGUCGAGAUUCAAAGUGUGGUAGGCCUAGACGAAAAAGUUGAAGUUUCUGAGCUAAAAAUCGACUCAGAAAAUGAUUCGUCAGAAGAGUGCUCCAAUGACGAACAAGACCAAUACACGACUUCAAACCAUAAAAUCACAUCGAUUGAUAUGGUAAUUGAAGACAUAGGUCUAGCCGAAAAAAUCACGCCAAUUGAUCUGAUUAUUGGUGAUAAAGCCGAUAUGGAGAAAUCCCGUUCGGCUAAGUUGCUCGAGUUAAAAGCCGAAAUUGGUGAAAUAAUUAUGCCCAGGGGGCAUAAUACUUGUUCCACACAUUCGGCGGCUGAAAAUGCAAAAUAUUUUGCCGAGUCAAAAAUAUUUGGGAAAAAUUCUUUAUUCGGCCUAGAGCGAAAUCAAUUUGAAAAUUUUGAUGCAAAAAGAUCUUGGCUUGGAAUAAAACAUCGUUGGUCUCCUCCUGAUUAUGGUUCGGCCACUUUUAUUUUCGUUUGCUAAAAUAUUAAAUAAAUUAUUUUCUUAACUAUUCGGCUUUUUAGGCCGAUGCAUAAACAUAAAAAGGGGGUAGUAUUGUUUUGACCGAUUUGUGUUCGGAUUUAAGAUUUAUUCGGCAUAUAACAUAUCAUGCAGAAAUUAAUCAUGGCAUGAACUGUUCUAGCACGAAGUGUUACAAUUUGGCGUCAAAGCAGGAGUUGAAUCAUGGCAUCUGCAAUUAGAGUCUCGGCCAAAAGAGUGGUUGCCGAGCCAUUCAAUGCACCUGGGAUUGGUUUGGCCGAAUAUAUAUAUAUAAGAGUUUAGCCGAACUCUCGACUACCUUACAAAAGCCUCGGCCAAAGCUGCAUAUAUAUGAUUCGGCCAAAACUGUAUAUAUAUAUAUAUAUAUAUAUAGGAAUUGCUUAAGGGGAGGGAUCCCCAUUUUUUCAAAAAAAUGGGGACACACUCCCCACCGUUGGAUUUGAAUUAAAUGAAAUCCUGUGGUUGAGAUUCUAUGGCCUGUGUUUUAAUCUCAACCACACAAUUUCAUUAAAGUCAAUCUAACGGUGGGGAGCGUGUCCCCAUUUUUUUUGAAAAAAUGGGGAUCCCUCCCCUUAAGCUCCCUGUAUAUAUAUAUAUAUAUAUAUAUAUAUAAAGAAAAUGGGGAUUCUCGGCCACAACUAUAUAUAUAUAUAUAUAUAUAUAUAUAUUGGGGGGGUUGUUUUUAAUGAGGGCAUUAGAGACUCGGUGGACGUCAAAUCUUGGUCAAAUGAGUGGGUCUGAGUUUCAAUGGCCAUGUGGGGUCGAGGGUUCAUGAUUUAUCUUGGUCAUGAUAGAUGAGUGAUAUUCAAUUGGAGGAAUUCAGCACAGUAUUUUGCCGAAUAAGUUUUUAUUCGGCGGUGGUUUCUCCAAUAAUUCUCGGCCAUAUGUUUUUCUCGGUCACUCGGAGGUAGUCAGUCAUCGGUAUUAUUAUUGGUAAAUCAGUAUUAUUGGAUGAUCAGACUUGGUGCAUACAGCUGAGCUAUCAGGGAUAAGGCCGAGUAAUCAACCGAGCUACCAAGAAUUAGUCAUUGCUGAGCCUUGCAUAUAGAAUGAUGGCUACGAACAAUUAAUUUCCUUAAAUAUUCGGCUUAUGAGCCGAAGUUCAAGGAAAUUGGGGGGCAAUGUUUGGACUCAAAUUUACACCAUCGGCCCAUGUAAUCAAGGCCGUUGAGUGAGCAUAGUUCUCGACCGUCAGAUGGAAAAGUGAAGAUAUUUUUGUUAAAGGAUAAUAUUAUGAUUUUUUAUCAUAAUAAUUAUUUUUUAAUGAUGAAUUAUCUUGAUUUUUUCCUGGUACAAGAUGGAUGAGAUGUAAAUGUAGUUCAAUUUGAUUUGGGAUUCUUGGAGUUAAGACGCGUGGUGGAUUGGGAGCAUCAGAGCACGUUAUUAAGAGUCCUAAUACACUACUGCAUUGUUGGCAAAUGGAAAUUGGCAGAGAUAUUAAUGCUUGCAUAAAGAUGAAGAUGUUAAAUUGGAGAUGGAUAGCCACGUGUGAGUGGAUUUGGUGGAGCCAUGCAUGCAUAUCAUUAUUUCAAGUCAAGAUGCUUAUCGGCACUAAUUGGUAUAUGCUAAUAUGCUAUUAAUUAGCAAGAGGUGGUUACAUGUUGGUAAGUGAUAACAAUCUUUUUGCAUGAGAUUGUUAUGAAUGAGGACUUUGAUGUUGGCGGCAGCUUUACAACACGAGCCGUCAGGAUGAGGAUGAUACUUAUAAAUACAGAGUCGCAAACAACGGGUAGGACCCCUGCAAAUCAAUACAAAAUUGCCCUGCGCAAAUUCUCACAACUUGUGAUUUUUCUUUUUUCCUUUUUUCGCUGACACAUCUUCCGUUGGCAUCAACAACAGCACUGUGGAAGCAACCGGUGAUAUCUUAAGUCGGCAUAGAUAGCUCUGUCACCGUAGAAUCAGUCGGUCUCGCAGUAUCUUCCGUUGGCAUCAACAGCACUGCGGCGAGAACGAUUGAUUAUCUAUCCAAGUCUCGGUCGAGAAGGAUUUCUGAAUCCUUGUUGGUCGAGGUCAUCUCAUCAGCCUUCUCGGCGAAGUGAGGUGUUACAAGUGACUACAUUCGGCACGUUGAAAGCCGAAUUUGAUAUUGAGCUUCGUAAAAAUAGUAACCUUGUCUUCAGGUUCGAGAGCCCAAGAGGCCGAGAUGUGUUCCUUUCUCGGCCGCAAUCGCAAGACGCAGAAGUCAGUAGCGCGACCCAACGCAACAUCAACAAAUUUACUCCUCGGCCGAGCGCGGCCGACGAGUUGGCACGCCCCGCAUUCACCGAAGGACGUAGUUAGCUCAUUAAUUACUCGGCCUGCGCGCCACGUAGGCUUGGUAGUUUCUAGGGUCAACAGGGGCAUAAUAAUUGUUCAGCGCAUUCGGCAGCUGAUAAAAAAUCUUUCGUCAAGUCAAACAUAUUUGGAGAUAGUAUUUUAUUCGGCCUUGCAAAAAUUCAAAGUGAAAGUUUUGAUACAAAAAGCCUUCGGCUUGGAAUAAAACAUCGUUGGCCUCCUCCAUUUAUAGUAGGGCCACUUUUGUUUUCUUUUGCUACAAAAUAAGAAUAAAUUAUUUUCUUAACCAUUCGGCUUUUUAGGCCGAUGCUUAAGAAAAUAAAGGGGGCAAUAAGAUGGUGCGGACUUAGAAAAACAAGAAAAAACAAGAUGGUGUACUCGGCAGACAAUUUUGGUCAAAUAAUGGUGUAUUUGGCAGACAGUUUUGGUCGAAUGAAUUUGCGAGAGCAUGCAUGACAAUUGUUCGGCAGACAGUUUUGGUCAAAUGAAUUUAUGGGAGCAUGCAUGGUUGCGAAGCUUGCUCAAUUCAGUUUCGAUGUGCGGUUUAAUAUAUAUAUAUAUAUAUAUAUAUAUAUAUAUAUAUAUAUAUAUAUAUGUCAGAAUGACCCAUCACAUGAAACAGAAAGAGAGACGCAUACGGAAAAGACAAAGGAAUAUUCAUGAAGUUAUGGUAGGCUUCCAUAUGGGCUAACAUUUUCGUUUGGUGAUGUAGUGAUCUGUGAAUUCCUAACAGCAUUAUUUGGCCGAAUACAAAUCUUUGGCCGAAUAAAACAUAGUUCGGCCGAAUAGAAUGGGUUAUAUAUAUAUAUAUAGGCUCUACAGCCAGUUCUUCUCGGUCUCGGCCCCAUUUACUCUCGAUCCCAGUAUUUUUGACCGAUACUAGUGUUUUCUCGACCCCGACAGUUGAGAGUUGGAGUAGUUCACGACACUGGCAGAGGGAGGUUAUGACAUUGGCAGAACAUAGGUGAUUUUAAUACCGAGAGACAAAAUUUGUUUCGGCAAUACGACGAAGUGUUGUUGGCUACGAGCAAUUAAUUUCCUUAACCAUUCGGCUUACGAGCCAAAGCUCACGGAAACUGGGGGGCAAUGUUUGGACCUGAUUUUACACAUCGGCCUAAGCAAUCGAGGCCGUUGAGUAAGCAUGGUUCUCAACCGUUGGAUAAGAAAGUUUAGAUAUUAUUGUUAAGAGAUAAUAUUAUGAUUUUUAAUCAUAAUAAUUAUUUUUUUUAUAAGUUAUCCCGGUUUUUUAUGCAAAAUAAAUGGGAUGGAGGCAAGUAGAGUUGUGAUGGGGACGUGAGCUUUGAAUCAGGUUGGUUUGUUUUGCUGGACAUGCAUACAUGGGAUGUAAAGAUAAUGAAGUGAUAGGGGAUAAAUCCAAACAUGCCAAAACGUGUAAUUUGCAAAAGAAUUGUGCAAUAUGGAGAUUCUAUCCUAAUGCAUGGUUUUUUGGGUUUGGUUUUGUGCACGUGGCAUGUGACAAUGGAGAUGAUGGUUUUGCAUGGUGAUGGCAAUAUGGGUUUAAAGGUUUCUCAUGUUUUUUUAAUAAGAAGCCUAGGUGGGUUAGAUCUCUAGUGAGAUGUGAUAAAGCCUAGGUGGGUUAGAUCUCUAGUGAGAUGUGAUAAAGCCUAGGUAGGCUUUAUUUAUCUGAAGGAUAUGUGCGGCGUAUUUGAUACGGUAUCAGGGUUUAUCUGAAGGAUAUGCGCGGCAUAUUUGAUACGGGAUCAAGGUCAAUUCCACAAAAUAGAGUUGCAGUUGGACUCUACAAAAUUAUUUGGCCGCGUCACACAACAUUUGCUCCUAUAAAUACAAAGGUAGUGGCAACGGAAGAAAGACCCCUGCAAAUCAAUACAAAAUUGCCCUGCGCAAAUUCUCACAACUUGUGAUUUUUCUUUUUCCUUUUUCGCUGACACAUCUUCCGUUGGCGUCAACAGCACCGUGGAAGCAACCGGUGAUAUCUUAAGUCGGCAUAGAUAGCUCUGUCACCGUAGAAUCAAUCGGUCUCGCAGUAUCUUCCGUUAGCAUCAACAUCACUGCGGCGAGAACGGUUGAUUACCUAUCCAAGUCUCGGUCGAGAAGGGUUUCUGAACCCUUAUUGGUCGAGGUCAUCUCAUCAGCCUUCUCGGCGAAGUGAGGUGUUACACGUUAUUACGUUCGGCAUAUUGAAAGCCGAAUUUGAUAUUGAACUUCGUAAGAAUAGUAACCUUGUCUUCAGGUUCGAGAGCCCAAGAGGCCGAGACGUGUUCCUUUCUCGGCCGCAAUCGCAAGAUGCAGAAGUCAGCCGCGCACCCAACGCAACAUCAACAAAUUUACUCCUCGGUCGACGAGUUGGCACGCCCCGCAUUCACCGAAGGACGUAGUUAGCUCAUUAAUUAUUCGGCCUGCGCGCCACGUAGGCUUUGUAGUUUUUAGGGUCAACAGUCACAUUUCAGGUGUCGGCUAACACUACUUAUUUUCGGUGUCCACUUGAAUAUAUGGGUCAGGGUGUGUCAUAAUGAACGCAGGCGAGCAUGGAUUCGCAACGGGGGUUCAAAAUCAAGUAGAUCCGAAUUGAAUCUCACAAAAACCCGACUGGAUUAUCAUCGGGAAGACUGUAGGCUCUCGAGGAUGGGUGGUUUCACCAGAAAAUGGUCAAACAAGGCCGGGGACAGGGACGACGCAAAAAUGGCAUCAUUUGGUCCUAGGGUUUCAGAAUAAGAGCAGCUAGGCUCCUUGUGGCUUGCGACGCAGCUUGGCGACUCGGCUUACACGCUUCAGGUCGUGGCUCGCGCGGGAGGUUGCAGCAACCCUAAUUUUCUUCUUUCUUUCUGUUCUCACACAAUCAUUAAUUCACCACAACAACAUAUAAGCAAAAUAAUAUUAUAAUUCGAAAAGCAUAAAAUUGGGUUCAUGCACUAUGUUGAAGAUUUCAUGCAAUUAGAGCUGGAAAAAAAAUCAAAAUUGAAACCGUAUUUUAGAAGUUACUUAGAUUGUAUGAUCAAAAUUUUGAGCUGUUUUGUAGCAGAAAAUAGCCUCUAGAUUCAUAGCGCAACGUCUAGAGUGUGCUGAUAACAUUUUGUUUCAUAUUUUACUAAAAGAAAGGGAAAUGGUGUGGUGAUAGUGGUGGAGAAAAAGACUCGGAAAAAUUGGUGUAUGUUCCCUUGUGCCAAUGCCUUUAUUUAUAGUAAACAGAAAGAAGAAGCAAACUUGCUCACCAAAAACACAUAGUCUAAUAGAAAAAAAAAAUCAUCUAAAUUACAUAGAAAUCCUAAUUCAAAUCUACCAAAAUUUACCGAAUUAUACUACAUCAAUAUUAAAUGUAACAAUAUUGACUAUGAUCCUACAGUUUUAUUUGCCAGUGUAUGUCUUUUAGCUAGCUUUAUAAUAACUUAUCAAUUUGAAUUUUUUGUCCCAACAAGUAAGCUAAUAUAUAUUAAAAAAUUAGUAUGUGUACACACACAAGAGAGCCAUAUAGUCUUUGGUCUUAUUGUCUCAAAAGUCAGAAGAGAAGACCCGAAGAACGAGCACUCCUCCAUAGUCCACAUUUCUCUACGGUCAUAUUCGGCGGACAAAAUUCUAUGCUCCAACGUCUUCGCUCUCCUUUUUUUUUUUUUUUUUUUUUUUUUUUUUUUUUUUUUUUUUUUUUUUUUUUUUUUUUUUUUUUUUUUUUUUUUUUUUUUUUUUUUUUAGCAAAUGAUAUUAUUUAUAUUAAAUGAUUGAGAUAACAUGUCAAAUUUCACACGUAACUAGCUAUAAUAAUGUUAUUUAAAUUCAUCUUUGACGAGAAUUGAAACUAAGACCUUACUUAUAAGUGAAAAUUAAUAUCAUUAACUCGUAGUACUAAAUAACACUUUAAUCUUUAAAAUUUACAAUCAAACUAGAUUUUUUUUCUCCUUUCUAUAUCCCGUGUUCCAAUUUCCACAUCCACACUUACAAAGUCGUACACGAUGACAUAGCACCAUACCCAUAUAUGGCAUUUGAUGUUUCUAGUCCUCGACUAACAUGAAACGUACAGUCGAUUCUUUCCCUUAGUCCCACUAGUCACAUGUGAUUCCUAUUCUUUUAUAAACAACUUUUUUUUAUUUAUUUUUUUUCAGCCAAAGAAGUUAAUUAAAAUUUUCAAACUGAAAAAUUAUUUAAUCAAUUACAAUAGCAUAAUAUUCAAACUGGAAUUUUUUUUUUUUUAGAGAAUGAUUUUCUACUCAAGAGGUGUGGGGAUUGAACCAUGCCACAUAAGGGGUUAGCUCUUAACUAAAUAUCAAACUCAACUCGAAUAUAAUACAUCAUCGCGAUCCAUAUGAGCAAAACCUGAGACGACUCACUUGAAAAUAGAGAUAAUUAUCACUAAAUCAUAGUACUAGCUGGUCACUUUAAUACAGUACUCACACUUGUAGGCUUUGGCUACACUAGCAUCAAUUAACUCUUGAUAUAACGUAAUUUUACUUCUUAAUAUUAUUCCCAAUUGAUUAACAAAACUACUAUAACAAAAACAAAUAAUAUAACUAAAAUAUGGACUUACGAAAAAUAAAAGAAAAUGAUUUUCGUACAAUUUUCCUCACUCUACGCAUCUCUAUUUAUUUUAAUCUAUCGAUUCUCAUUUAUUUCAUUUAAUUCAAAUACUAGAAAUAAAGUGGCAUUAAGACUAAGAAGGUACAAAUCCCAUCAGCUCAUGGGCAUUAGUGGAAUUUCGCCCUUCUUUAACUGCAUUGUCCCUCCAUAUGCAAGUUAAUUUCACGCGGAUACAAACCCAAUACUUAACUAAGCAACAACAGGCCCACAUUUGACCAACAACUAAUUUAGUCGUAUUUACAUACACACCCCUGUCCCACCACCACCAAGUCAAAACGACGACGUCACCUUCGUCCUCAAAAACUCCUCCAACCUCCACUUCCUUCCAAAACACAACAAACUCAAACCUCUCCGUCUGAGAAACUCUGGAGCACCAAACAAUCAACUCGCCACUAAAAAUGGGGAGGGAGCGGGACCAUCUCUACAUCACCGUUCCCAACCUCUUCCGCUGCCCCAUCUCCAUGGACGUCAUGCGCUCCCCCGUCAGCCUCUGCACCGGCGUCACCUACGACCGCGCCAGCAUCCAGCACUGGCUCGAAUCCGGCCACGACACCUGCCCCGCCACCAUGCAGAUCCUCCAGUCCAAAGACGUCAUCCCCAACCUCACCCUCCGCCGUCUCAUCAACCUCUGGGCCCAGUCCCACGGCCCUUCCUCGCCGGCCUCCUCUCCCUCUCUCUCCUCCCAGCACCUCGCCUCCCUCGUUCAAUUUCUCCGCAAUGAGAACGAGACUGAGAAAUUCAGCCAAAAUAUCGUAAACUCAUUGUCGAAGACUGCCGAUUUCGCGAGGGUCGGCGAGGAGAACCGGAGGUUUGUGGCGAAUUUCGACGGCUUCGUCUCCGCCAUUGUGGGGAUUCUGAACAGAGAAGGCGUCGAAAUCGAAGUUCUCGAAUCGGUAAUUAAGGUUUUGGAUUCGAUUUUGCCUCAAAGCGGAGUCAACGAGCAAUUGAGCCGAUUUAUUGCGAAGAGCAACGGCAAUUACCUCGCUUCAAUUCGAUUGGUACUGCAGAAAGGAAGCCUGAGCUCGAAGAUCGAAUCCGUCAAGGUUUUGGAUUCGAUCGCGCUCGACGCCGAGUCGAAACGAUUAAUCGCGGAGAAGGAAGGCUUAUUGUCCGUAUUCAACGAUCUGUUGAGCUUGGAAACGUGUCAGGACCUAUACGGCGCCGUUUUCUCAUGCUUAGCAUCAUUGUCCGUGAAUCGGUCGAUUAAAGCCGAGCUCGUCCGGUUCGGACUAGUCCGAGUUGUAACGUCAACGCUGCUAAAGCCGGACACUAGCACUACCCUUGCGGAGAAGUGUUUGAAGCUGUUAUCCACCAUUGCCACGUGCGCCGAGGGCCGGUCGGCGAUCAGCGGGGAGGAGAAGUGCGCGGAGGCGGUGGCGGAGAGGCUGAUGAAGGUGUCGAGGGGGGCGACGGAGGACGGCGUGGCGGUGCUGUGGAGCGUGUGCUGCAUGUUGGGGGACAAGAGGGCGAGGGAGAGCGUGGCGGGAGGAAAUGUGGUGGCGAAGGUGUUGUUGGUGAUGCAGAGUGGGUAUGGAGAGGGGCAUUUUGUGAGGAGGAUGUGUGGGGAUUUGGUCAAAGUUUUGAGUGUUGGGUUAGGGUUGGGGUUGAGGUAUGACACCAAGACUAUACAUAUCAUGCCUUGUUAGAAAUUGUUCAUGAUGAUAAUCUUGCUCAUUUAUUUUUUUUUUGGAAAUUGUGAAUUUGGAUAAAAAAUUUUAUAGAAACAAAAAGGAAAAUUCUUUUUAGUUUUGUAGUCAUUGAUCAUCAUUAUGUGAUUGAUGUUGUAUGAUUAGUAGAGAUAUUUUUGUGUGCUGUGAACAUGACCCGGUAUAUUAAGAAUAGUAUUACAAUUCGUUGGAAACUUUAAAAAAAAAAUUCCAAGAAAUUGUAUGUGCUGUGUUUCCGGAAAAAUUUCUUGGGUUUGUGGGGAUGUGAAUAUGCAAAAUUAUGUUGAUAAGAUGGCUUAAGUGAUUAAAAGAAUGAAGAAAUAAACAACUUUUUGUUAAUCUCAUGUUAAUCUUCUUUUUUGAUUUGUUGUUUCUUUUAUUGUUAAUUCAGAAAAGUUUCAUGAUGAAUUUGUUUGGACUUUGAAAAAGGAUUAGGGACAAGAAUCCAAUCCAUCGUAAAAGGGGCAAGUUUUGAUAUGAUUUGCAAGUUAUAACUUGUUAAGUAAGAGAACGUAAGGAGAUCUAUUGUAUACUUGGGUAAAUUUAAUUGGUCUUAAGUUCAAAUUUAUUUCUAAGUAAUUUUGGAGUAAUUGUGAUCAAAUAGUUGUAUGCUUUUUUUUAGAGUGGACUUACAAGUCACAGUUGUAUUGCCUCAACUACGUUUUAUACCAAUAAUACAAUACCAUGCAGAGAAAUUUACACAUAAUGUUGUAUAUUUGGCAUGAGACUAUCUUAGUGAAAAUGUAUCCAUGCCAUAGAAGUCGUCCUCUCUUUUGUGGGUGAGGUAGUUCUGGGCAAUGAACCUGUAUGAAAAAAUAUGAGUUGUUGAGCUAUGCACGAGUGUCAAACGUAACAUGGCUUAUUUUCGUAUCCCUGGUAAACAAACUACAAAAUCGUUGCUCUUAGAACAGUAUGUGUUUAAUUUCAAAAACGAGACAAAAAUGAUUGUAAAGAAAAAACACUAAAUAAGGAGACAAAUUCAGGCUAGUUUGCGUUCGAAUUUUACAGGGUAAGGCAACAACUUGGCUGUAGUAGGCAUCUGGUUUGCAAAAAUCCAGCAGAAAACAAUUGUAUGGACAACAAAUUGCGAUGCUCCGAUGCGACUCUCUAACAAUGUAAAGCUGUUUUGAAGUGGUGAAGGAACAAGGGUCAUGGCGCCAGAUAACCGAGUUGUAUCAGCAACCAUUUUUAUGAGCCUGCUGCCUCGGCUUCCAUGCUCGAUUCUGGUAACUUUGUCAUCUACAACUCGGACUCAAAUAUCAUUUGGCAGAGUUUUGAUACUCCAACCGAUACCAUUGUAUCUGGCCAGCGAUUGCUGGCUAGAAAGAAGCUUGUCUCCAGCAUCUCCGACACAAAUCAUGCAAGCGGAAGAUUUAGACCUUCAAUGUAGCGUGAUGGGAACCUAGAGAUGUACCUGGAGUGUCCAAUUAUAUUACAACCUGAUUGAUCGGUAUGCUUACUCAAAUAGUGGGACGUACAGGGCUGGAGACAAUGAGUCACUCAACGUUGAUCACAAUGGACAGUUAUAUCUCCUCAGUUACAAUAUAAGGAACGCUACGAAUCAGAAAGAGCUGUUUGACACACACACGUAUGUACCACAUGAUGAUUGACUUUGAUUGUAUUACUCCAGUUAUACUUCCAUACUAUUUAUAUUUAAUUUUAAAUUUUAAAUGAUUUUUAACCGCACGAUAUACAUGAACGGACAUAAUUAUGGGAUCCUCCAAAUUCCUGAGAAAAGGACGUCGAACAAGAAUCUUUGGUUGCUCCAUUGUCUCAUUUGACGGACUGAAAUAACGGAGCUAACAAACUGUAAGUACAAAGGACGAAAGUGAAAAGAAAAAGGCUAAAGGGAGGUAAGUGAUAAUUCGAUUUAAACUAACGGGACCAUGAGUGCAAUCUGACUCGCUCCUUAACUUGGAAAAGCCAACCAGGGCGUUCCAAGUGUGAUGAUGAACACGUGCCGAAACACCAUUGGAUUCUGGAGGGGAACCAGUGAGGCCUCCCGCAGCAAAGCCACACAAAAUGAUACACAAGCGAUCUGAGUCGUCGGCGAGGAUCCUUUUCCGUGAAAAAUCGAUCGAAGAAGCAAAGGCAGGUCACUGAAUAAAGAAAUAAAAACACAGAAGCUGAAGCUGUUGCGGGAAAAAGCUUGACCAAAUCAGGGUUCCCGAAUUCGAAUCGCCAACGAGGUUAACCAGAUUAGGGUUUUAACAAAAUUUUUAAGUUACUUUUACCAUGUUGUAAUUGCUUAAUUUUUUUUGCUGAAAUUCAGAAAUUUGCAGGAAAACUGAAAUGGGGGACGGCCUAUGGAACCGCCAGCAGCAGCAGCAGCAGCAGCAUCAACUGGGUCCCUCUGGCGGCGUGCAUAAACGACCUCGUUCCGACUACGGUAACUCCUCUGUGGCCAUUUCUCAUAGUUUUUUUCUUUAAUUAGAUGAAAUUGCGAUUGCAUUCGUUUGCAUUAUAGAUUUAGUUGUCAAACCAUUUAAUUUCUGACUUCUUGUUUAUAAUUCGAGCGAUAUUAUAAUCUAAUCGAAACUAUGGGGAGAGGGGGAUUCGAACUUGGGUGCAGAUGGGGAGCACACUGCUCGAGCCAACUUAGCUAGGCCAAAGUCUGCUUCUUCGUGUUAUAAGUGUUUUUACUUUAGUGGUUCUUGAUGGGUUUCGGGUUUCAAUGUAAAUUAUGUUUCAAAGUGGUGAAAUUUAUGUGAAGGGUCAAGGGUAUCUAGACAAAGGAUUCCAGUUCAGUUGUCUGAUGACUCUGCUUGUAUGUAUCUCCCCUUACUCUAGUAGAUAUGCAGAUUCUGGUUUUGUAGCUAGGUGUCUCUUUUCUUUUCUUUUAUAAAAAUUACAAUAAAUGUUUUGCUUCCAUAGUUCCAUGUGUACUCUUACAUCUUCGGGGUCUUCUUGAAGCAUAUAAUAUAGUCUUAGCCUAUCUGUUCCACUUACUACAAUUGCGAUCAACACUCAUACUCGUAUGAUUCCAUAUAAUAAUGUAUCUUCCACGAAAGCUUUACUAAGCAUAUGAUUUCUGUUAUUAUUUUCUUUGUAACCAGAUCACAGUUUUUGGCCUUCAUGUUUCCUUCGGUCCAUUGUUAAUGAUAUUAUUUACUGGAUUUCAUAUUUAGAGCAACUUUUGAAUGAUUUCCACAUUAGCGGUAGUUUUAGAAGUUACUGGUUGUUAUUAAGUUAUGUUCAAGGGGGGAAAACCUUGUUCGGUGUGUUUGCUAAGACCUGUGUGAAAAUGGAAACUACUACAAAAUCAUUCAGGUUUCCAAUUACAUUGCAAGGUACUUAAGAAUGGAUCUUUUCCUGAACCCAACCAAACCCCAAACCUCUGAAAUUAUCAAGUAGAUUCUUUCCUUUUAGUGCGGUCAGUCUUCCAAUCUAAUACUAUUCUUCAAUAAUUAUGGUAAUAAGAUCCUCCAUACAUAUUUAUAAUGCAAUUAUGUUUAUAUACAAAUUGAUGCAUAUUAUUGGUAUACAUUUUGAUAUAACCAAAUUCCCCUUUUUUUUCAUUUAGUUAUUUGUUUGCUGAGUUGUUCUUGUUAUAACUUCUUAGUCACUGAUCAAAAGCCUAGACUUGUAUAUUGUAUGUAGAUGUUUUGAUUGGUAUGUUUUCUUUGUACUUUUGAACAUUGGUGGCAGUUUUACUUGUUCAAAUACCACCUAGUUGUUAGUAGUGAUAUUGUUCAUUCCGCACCUUGGGUCUAACUCUGCACAUUAAAGAGUAGGUUUUUACCUUGUUAAUUGACGGGGCAUACUCUACUUCCACCUCAUGCUUCUCAAUUGGUUUCUUGAUUUAAGUUCUUCCAUCUGCUUUUUUAUUUUUUAUGCCUUUUCUCUUGUUCUAUAGUUGUAAUAUAUACAGCUGAAUUAGGGUCUAUUUGUUAAUGUUUUCUCAAUGUUGUGCCUUUAAAUAUAGGUAAAUUAUGCGCUUGGUGCAUUAAGUUUGUUAAACAUGGGAAACAUAUUCUGUAAAAUGAUCUCAACUUUUGUUCUUCAAGUUAGGAAACAACCAUUCCACUAUUUAUGUUGUUUUCAGGGGGAUUGUGAAACAUGGUGAGUAGUUAGAAACAAAAAAAGGAACCUUUCAACUGGAAUAAAUGUUUCUGUCAUCCUCAGAGGCUCUGUUGUUGGUCCUCACUUUUCACGUAUAUCUGCUCUCAAAAACCUAUACCAAAAAACCAAACACCCUAUCGCCUCUCUCUUCCUUUCUUUCUCCAUCUCUCUUUGCCUCCUCAUCUCUCCCACUUUCUCUCUACACCCUCAAAACCUGCACUCCAGCCCCACUCCGAACGCCUGACCCAUUCAUCGAAACCAAUAUGUGGAACCUCUUCUCAACCUCCCCCGCCCCCGCCCCCGCAAUGUUGUCGUCUCGUCUCUGAUUUGAAAACAUUUGGUUGUGGGUUGUUUUCAAUAUAAUAAGUUGGACGUGAAUAAUUGUUAGUGAUAAAUUUGGAUGGUAGAGUUUGGUAUUAUUUCAAUUUAAACUGGAGUGGUCAAGAAUUUGGUAGAACUUGUAAAAUGGAGAAACUGAAGAUGGUGAAUCAGACUUGGUUUCAGUUUAAACGGGGAUAGUUAUACCGUACUUGUAUGGGAUAUAGAGCGAUGUUGGAUGCAGCUUUAUUUUAUUGUAUCGGUUUUGUUUUGGUGUCGGAAUGGUUAUACUGUACUUGUAUCUGUUUCUUUAUCUCGUUUUGGUGUUGCUUUAUUUUUUUAUUGCUUUUAAAUCUGAAAUGGUUAUACUGCACGUGUAUUGGAUAUAGGUCUGAUGUUGGAUGUUUAUUGAUAUGAAUGUUCCAUUUAAUAGGGCUCUAACUCACAAUGGUUUUGGUUAGCUUUGAUGCGGGCAUGGGAUAAAUCAAUUUCACUAUUGUGCCGUUUAAAAGGGCUCUUAACUCACAAUGUUUUAAUAUAUUUGUUUGGUUCAUUGAUACGUCUUGUCAAAAUGUGUUUACAUUAGUUACGUGUUUGAACUUUGAUUAUAAUAUUUAGUUGAAAAUAGUUUUUCAAAAUAUUGCUGCCUAAUACAAAUUCAGUAAUUUAAUUUUUUUCUCAUACUAGCACUGAACACAUUUUCACUGUUUUUGUUUUUAGAAACAUUUUUUCAAACUAUUCUACCAGAUGCAUUAUCUAAUGUUAAAUUACAAGAAUGUUAUAUCAUUUUCAUUUUCUGAAAGGUUUUUAUGCAGAUGGUUUUGUAAAACAUCACCUGAUAGGCUCUUACUUUUCUGUAUUGUCAACCUGUCUUCAGGUCAAGAGAUGCAUGGUUAUUUUGCGCGAGAGGAUGAUCUUGGUGGUCCUAGGACUGUAAAGGAUAACAGAUCAAUCGGAUCAGCAUAUGACCGUUAUCUUCAGAAUGCGGUGACUUUCUUAAGCAUUUGAAACUAUGCCUAUUAUUAUUUGUGUUACAUCUCUCUGUUUCUGUACUAAAACAUUUGUCCUACUUGCUUCUAAAGGAAAUGGCUUCGUACACUUCUGGAGAAGCGAGUACUUUUGGUGGAGCUGGAAUGGGAAGGGCUGUUGGUGGUGGAAUGACAGGUCCUCCAAUGGCUGAUCAUUCUAUGAGGGGCCGUCCUGGAGCUAUGUCUUCUGAUGUACUAACAAAUGGUCGAAAUAUGAAUCUUGCUAAUCAGCUCCCAGUUGAUUCAAUGCCUAGGCCUGGACGUGAAACAGUUCCUUUACCUCUGGAUGCAUCCAGCACUUUAUAUGUUGAAGGACUUCCUCCUGACAGCACAAGGAGGGAAGUAGCUCGUAUCCUUUAUGAUGCUUAAGAAUUAUUGCAUAUUGCUUUCCAAUCUUAUUGUUUAACUCAAUAGUUUUUCCAUCGCUCCUCCUUUACAUAACUCUUAAGAUAUCUUUCGUCCUUUUGUGGGAUACAAAGCAGUGAGGCUUGUGAGCAAAGAGUCCAAACACGUAUGUGGGGGUGGAUUAUUGUAAACAAUUACUUUUCUUAGUCAUUCUGUUUUUCUUGAUCACUCUGACUUGAGAUUGUCGUUGUGCUACUUGGUUCGACUCUUGGGAAGUUUAUAAUCUUUCUUCACACUAAUAUUCCGGUUUGUCCAUAAUGCAGCGUGGCGGGGAUCCUCUUAUUCUUUGUUUUGUGGAUUUUGAAAAUCCAGCCUGUGCAGCAACUGCUCUGAGUGCCUUGCAAGGUGAUUGCUUUUUAUUGUCAUCAACCUUGGUGACUAUCAGUGUCAAAGAAAGCUUAAUUCUUUCUUUCUGUUUUUAUUUGUUUCCUUUAUAGCUUCACAAGUGUUAUUUUCUAUCAUACCUUAUUCAAUCAUGUAAAGGGUAAAUUUAUGUUAAAAUUCUUCCAUGCAUAGUAGGUGUAAAGAGGUUGAGGCAGUUCAUAAAAAUGUUAUAGAUGGCUUCUUGUGAUUUAAUAUUGGAGUUCAUAAUAUCUCUACACUACAUAUCGUGUAGAACUAGCUGGAUUGCUCAUUAUUUUCCCAUGUUUGUUGUUUUUGAAAAGCUGGAAGAUGCUGACAUUUGUGUUGCUGGAAGAUGCUGACAUUCAUGUAAUUCCAUGCAUAGUGUUUUAGUAUGUGUAAAGACGUUGAGGCAGUUGAAAAAAAAAAUGUUAUAGAUGGUUUCUUGUGAUUUAAGAUUGAAGUCCAUAAUAUCUCUACACUCCCGAUUGUGUAGAACUAGUAUUGCUCAUUAUAUUUUCCCGUGCUCGCGGUUUUUGAAACGCUGGAAGAUGCUUACAUUUGUGUUGCGUUUGCAGGUUAUGAAAUGGAUGAACAUGCUCCUGAUUCUAAUUACUUGCGGCUGCAGUUUUCUCGGUUCCCUGGUCCUAGGUCUGGACCUGGCCGUAACAAGAGGUGAUAGGCAUUAGGUGAUGAGAAAUAUCUGUUUUUGAUGUAAUCAAGAUUGCAUUUGCUUUUAAUACAUUCCAUAUAUAUAUAUAUAUAUAUAUAUAUAUAUGUAUUGCUCAGGCUUGGGCACACACCAACUGUAAGCACUUCUGAUGCACAUUGUUGUUUCGAGGUAGUGAAUCAGAAACAGUUUUAUAGUUGUGCAAUUAAACAGAGAUCUGAUUUUGCACGUCCAUGGUCUACAAAAUUUGUAAGUGUUUUUAGAAGUGGCAAGUUUCUCAGGCACAAACCCUUUAAAAACUAGUGUGUUUUUUUAGCAUGGAUUUGCAGGCUUCUGUUACAUAUAUCAUAUGGUAAGUGAUUUCCGCUCGCUUUUUCUCCUUGUACAACUCCUUUUUUCCUAGUUUAAGGGUUGGAUAAAUCAAAUCAAAGGAGAAUAAGUGGAAAGAAACAUAAGGUGAAUGCAGGAGGAGAAAAUGGGAACGUGCCGAUGACUACCGAUCAAACUCGUCUUUUCUUGUAACUUCCAACUGCAUGGAGAAAAGCAAGACACUGCGUGAUGAGAAUGGGCAUUGCAUGGUGUCAUGUCUUGUGGUGUUAGAAAUUUGAUCCGAGUCCUUCCCAUUUGGACUACAGUUAAGGACAGGCUCUACUAUGUCCUCCCAAUGCUAAGCACUAGGUAGUGGGCUGCCGACUAGUCUAUGUGCCACUGUACAUAUCACAUGGGCUUUCAACCCAUAAUCCUAUCCUGCUAGAGCUUCCCCCUACCCUUCUUGAAAUUAGUAUACCGUCAGGUAUGUUGCUGUCUCUCAUAUCACGUGACUAAUGAUUCGUUUGGAAUUACUUCUUUCAGAAACACUUAUACUACAAGUGUUUUUAUUGUAGACACGUUAAAUCUUUACAAACAAUCCAAGUGUUCAUUGAAAAAUAUUUGAAAGUGCUUCUUGAAAAAGCAUUUGGCAAGUGCUCCUCUAAAGAUAGUUUAUACGAGUCAAAAGAAUUUCUAAUAUUUUAUCUUUAUGCCAAUCGCAACAGAACACAUUUAGCUUUUCCAGAAUCAAUCCUAAACUAGUUCUAAGCAAAGAAAGGGCAAUAUAACAUAAGGACAACGAAGAAUCUCUCUAACAUUAAAGGUUAUGUUUGUUCGGUCACUAGACUCAAACAAAAGAGAAAAGUAGAAGUGGGCAAUAAAUUGGUUUUCGAUUACCAUCAAAUUGGCACAACAUUCGGCAUUGUUUCGCAAAAGACUGCUUUUUUUUCUUAGCAUUAGUUUUACACACACUCUAGUGUGUGGUAAAAACAAGCUAGGGUUUGGUUGGAGAACAAGUCUGAGCAGUUACAUGCCAUGUGGGCUGGAGGGUUUCGUUUGGUGCCAUUACUCUUUUUUCUUGUUCUAUCAUCCUUGUCGAACUGGAAGAGAAAAAGGAGGGGAAAAGGGAGUUUAGGGCAAAAAGGAUACUGAGUUUAUAAACCAGGAAAUGUCUAAGCAAUUUGUUUGUGCCAACGUGACUGUUAUCUAAAUAUAGCGUACUUGUGGUAUAAAAGAAAAAGGCAAAAAGGGUAACUGUAAAUAGUUGUUGUACUUAAGUGUAAAUUGUCCCACAACUUGUCCAGGGACCAGUGCAUAUAAGUUGUAGCUGCAAGUGCAAGGAGCAACCUCUGGAUUAGAUAGACGGAUGGACUUGGUUUGGUAUGAUUCCAAGUCGUCGUUGAUGUUUCUUCUUCUUUGUGGCCCAGCCACCCAGGACUAUAGUCCUUAUUUGGUAGGUAUUUAUUGCAAGGCUAACUAUAGGAUUGGAGAUAGACAAAGGGAGAUGGGACAUGGAGAAUGGUUUGCCAAGUUUGUUUAGAAUGGAUCGGGAUCAAUGCCCGUUGGAUCCCUAGUAAUUGAAUAUUAGUUAAAGAUUCAACGUCUAUGAAUCUCGGUCUAUGUUAUGAACUGUUUUUACAAUUUUCGUUCAUUGUGUAUCACGUAAUAUGCAUAAUGUUAGACAAUCCACUUGUUUUAUUUGAGACAACUGUAUUUGAUGCACUUCCUAAUUUCUGUUUUCUGACUUGCUUCAAUCUACAUUCUCUUGAUAUUUUUUUUUCCAUUUUACUCGGUUUUAUGAUAGUGAGAACAUUCAACAUGGCCUCUUCUUCCUCAAGUUGCUUCUUUGUGAUACGUAUAUCUGUUUUUGUACUAAAACAUGUAUCCUACUUGCUUUUAAAGGAAAUGCCUUCGUACACUUUUGGAGAAGCGAGUACUUUUGGUGGAGCUGGAAUGGGAAAGGCUGUUGGUGGUGAAAUGACAGGUCCUCCAAUGGCAUGAUCAUUCUAUGAGGGCCAGUCCUGGAGCUAUGUCUUCUGAUCUAUUAACAUAUGGUCGAAAUAUGAAUCUUAUUAAUCAGCUCCCAGUUGAUGCAAUGCCUAGGCGUGGACGUGAAACAGUUCCUUUACCUCUGGAUGCAUCCAGCACUUUAUAUGUUGAAGGACUUCCUCCUGACAGCACAAUGAGGGAAGUAGCUCGUAUCCUUUAUGAUCCUUCUAUGAUGCCUAAGAAUUAUUGCAUAUUGCUUUCCAAUCUUAUUGUUUUACUCAAUAAUUUUUCAAUCGCUCAUCCUUUACAUUACUCUUUAAGAUAUCUUUCGUCAUUUUGUGGGAUACAAAGCAGUGAGGCUUGUGAACGAAGAGUCAGGUUUGUCCAUAAUGCAGCGUGGCGGGGAUCCUCUUAUUCUUUGUUUUGUGGAUUUUGAAAAUCCAACCCAUGCAGCAACUGCUCUGAGUGCCUUGCAAGGUCAUUGCCUUUUUCUUUUCAUCAACCUUGGUGACUAUCAGUGUCAAAGAAAGCUUAAUUCUUCGUUCUGUUUUUAUUUGUCUCUUUAAAGGUUUGUAAAUUUUUUUUCUAUCGACCUUAUUCAACCAUGUAAAUGGAAAAUUUAUGUUAAAAUUCUUCCAUGCAUAGUAGGUACAAAGUGGUUGAGAUAGUUCACAAAAAUGUUAUGGAUGGCUUCUUGUGAUUUAAUAUUGGAGUCCAUAAUAUCUCUACACUCCAGAUCGCGUAGAACUAACUAGAUUGCUCAUUAUUUUCCCGAGCUUGUUGUUUUUGAAACGCUGGACGAUGCUGACAUUUGUGUUGCGUUCGCAGGUUAUGAAAUGGAUGAACAGGCUCCUGAUUCUAAUUACUUGCGGCUGCAGUUUUAUCAGUUCCCGGAUCCCAGGUCAAGACCUGGCCGUAACAAGGGGUGAUAGGCAUUAGGUGAUGAGAAACAUCCGUGUUGAUGUAAUCAAGAUUGCAUUUGCUCUUAUACAUUAUAUAUAUUGCUCAGGCUUGGGCACACACUAAUUGUAAGCACUUCUGAUGCACAUUGUUGUUCUAGGUAGUGAAAUCAGAAACAGUUUUAUAGUUGUGUUGAACGAUCUGAUUUUGCACGUCCAUGGUCUACAAUUUACUCAAGGAAUGUUUUAAUUCUGAAUUGAGAUUGUACUGUGCAUAGACUACCGCAAAAUUAGUACAGAGAUAGUUUCCCUAUAGAUUGUUUUCAUAUACUAGAGGACUUCCAUGGCCAGGGUAUCUUGCCACCAUAUUGUCCCCGUACAUUUUCCCUCCAUAUUAGUUAUAUAUUUAUCUGGACAUUCUAACCUAAUGAAGUCCUACAAUCAUCAUAACUCAUUUUACUUAGCUCAUGCUCCUUACAAUAUUUGAUGAACUCACAUAAGAAACUCAUAGAAAUUUGUUCCCAGUCAUUACCUUUGGACUGCAGUUGAAGCUUAUGAUACAUCCUCCCAAUGCUAAGCACUAGCUAGUGGGUUGUCGACUAAUCUAUGCCACCGUACACAUCGCAGGGGCUUUGAACUCUGUCUCAAUUAUUGUAAAGACGUUAGCCUCUUCAAUGAAAGAACCCAUAGUCCUAUGCUGCUAGAGCUCCCCCCACCCUUCUUGGAAUUAAUAUAGUGUUAGGACAUAUCGCUCUAUUUCUCACAUCACGUGACUAAUGAUUUCUUUGAAGUUACUUCUUUAGGAAACACUUAUACUACAAGUGCUUUUAUUAUAUAGAAUCUUUAUAAGCAAUCCAAGUGUUCAUUGAAAACGUAUUUGAAAGUGCUUCUUGAAAAAGCAUUUGGCAAGUGCUUCUUGAAAAAGCAUUUGGCAAGUGCUUCUAUAAAAGAGCUUAUUGGGUCAAAAGAAUUUCUAAGUUUUUUUUUCUGCCAAGCACAACAGAAUACACAUUUUAGCUUUUUCCAGAACCAAUCCCAGACAAGUUCUAAGCAAAGAAAGGGCGAUACAGCCUGAAGACAACGGAGAAUUUCCCUGACGUUAAAGGUUUUGUUUGUUCGGUCACUAAACCCAAAAAAAUAGAAAACUUGAAGUGGGCAAUGAAUUGGUUUUCGAUUUCCAUUAAAUUGGCACAACAUUCGGCAUUGUUAUGCAAAAAUAUACUUUUUUCUUAUCAUUAGUUUUACACACACUCUAGUCUGUGGUAUAAAAUGAGCUAGGGUUUGGUUGGAGAACAAGUCUACGUGGUAUCAUCACUUACAUUACAUGCCAUGUGGGCUGGAGGGUUUCAUUUGGUGCCAUUACUCCUUUUUCUGUUCUAUAAUCAUUUUGGAACUGGAAGAGAAAGUGGAGGGGAAAAGGUAGUUUAGGGCAAAAAUUUUCCAAUCAAUUUUUUGGCAGUGUGACUGUUUUCGAAAUAUAGAGUAGUUGUGGCAAAAAAGAAAAAGGAAAGGGGUAAUUGUACAUACACAUUGUUCCAAAGGGUCAGUUGUCCCACAACUUGUCAAGGGACCAGAGCAUUAAGUUGUAGCUGCAAGUGCAAGGAGAAAGUUGUGGAUUAGAUAGACCAAUGGAUUUGGUUUGGUUUAAUUCCAAGUCAUCGUCGUUUCUUCUUCUAUGUGGCCCAGCCGCCCAGGACUUUAGUCCUUAUUUGGCAGGUACUUAUUACAAGGUUAGAUAAAGGGAGAUGAUACAUGGAGAACGGUUUGCCAAGUUUGUUAGAGUGGAUCCGGAUCCAUGAGUGUUGGAUCUCUAGUAAUUGAAUCUUUAGUUAAAGAUUCAAUGUCUCAACGAUCUAUGCUAUACAUUUGUCUUUACGAAUUUUCAUUCAUUGUGUAUUACAUAAUAUUCUUGACCCUCUUAUAUGUGACUUCGGCCGACUUCUAUCACCCGAUAUCGUUGUGUAAUAACUUGAUGAGAUAGCCAAUGCUUAGGUCAUCUUCAAUGGAGAUGGCUAAAGGUCAAAAAGCUAAAAAAUAGUAUGAUUUGUUCAAAAACUCAUCUCCAACCAAUGUCAGAGCUAUAAUUAUAUGGAGCCCACCAUGCCAUUAUUUGGCUAGUGCCCCUUUCUUAGCCCCUUUUUGGGGCCUAGCUCCUCGAUUAUGCCAUCUGCAAUGAAGAGGGCUAAAUGUCUAAAAGCCAAAAAAUGACAUGAUUUACCCAAAAACUCAUCUCCAACCAAUAGCUAGGUUAUAAUUCUAUGGAUUCAACAGUUAGAUUUGGAAACAUCCAAUGUUAGUUUAAUUAAAUUAAAGUAUAAACUUAAAACUAAUAAAUUAUUAGGGAGCCUAUGUUUUAGCCCUUUCGGUUGGAGAUGGUAUAUGAGUAUGGCCGACACUAUUCAUUUAAAAAUAAUUUUUUUGUUGGGUUAUAAUUUUGGAUGAGGCUAUGUCUAGCCCUUUUGGUUGGAGAUGACCUUACAAUGAUUAAUUCAAAUUCAAUGGUUAAAUUUGAAAAUAUCCAACAAAACAUCCAACAGUAGUUUAAUUAAAUUAAUCAAUAAUUUUAAGUAUAAACUCAGAACUAAUAAAUUAUUGAGGGAGUUAUGUUUAGCCUUUUCGGUUGGAAAUGAUAUAUGAGUAUGGCCUAAUACUGUUUAUUAAAAAAAAAAUCUUUAGUUAUCUCUGCUAAUCAAUAAAACACUCAUUGUCAACCAAAAUCCUAUGAAAUUACCAGUUUAACCUUCUAAUUAAAACAAAACAUGAAUAAGAAAUAUGGGGCGGAAAUUUAAUUUUACACAAACAAAAUUUGUUGUUUUUUUUUUUCAAAACUUCAUCUAUAUAUAAUUCUAACAUAUCUCUAAUUAUAAAAUAAAUAAAAAAUAAAAAUAAAAACUUCCUACUCCCACAUUCUCUAUCACUCCCUUCCUCUCUUCUUUUAUUUUAAAACAAAAAAAAAAAUUUCACAUACUUUAUAUAUGCCCAUAUGCUAGUAAUUAUAAACGAAACUAUAUUUAACUAUUUCGUUGAAAAUGACCGUACGAGUAUGUAAAUUUUGAAAUGUGAGUUGUCGUUCACUACGCAAGCAAAGAUCGAAAGCCUUCAUGUACCGAGGGGUCCCACUCCUUGAAUCAGAAUAAAAGUGCUUUGAAAAAGUCCCUUUAAUUAUGUCCAAGUUUGGAUAAAAUUUGUCCAUGCAUGGCAUGCACUCACUGACUGAUCUCGUCGUCCUGAAGGGUAAGAGAGGUAAAUUCCAGAAUAACCCACGAGGCACUGUAUGAAGCCUGUCAAUUACAUCAACUCAUCAAGCUUUCAAUCUUUUCAUGGCAUGCCUAACUUCUGUGAAAUAUGCUCAACAUUUAACAUUUUGUAAACCAAAAAGAGAGUAAGAGAGAGAUGAUUGAAGUAAUAAAGUAAAAGCGAAAUGCAUGCAUUGAUAAAAGGAAAUUUUAACAAAAAAAAUUUCGGUACUGUUUACUUUAACAAAAAAUUAUAUUUUUACAUUAAAAAGUCAAUUCUAAUACUAUUCAUUUUACCCUUUAUUUGUUCUUUAUUGUUAAAAAUCAAAUUUUUCAAUCCAUUUUUAUUAGUUUUCCUUUGAUAAAAGGAGAAAGAUGCAUGGAGAACUGGUUUUUUAUUUUAUUAUUAUUUUUUUUACAAACAAUAAUAUUAGAGUGGAUUAAGUUAUUAGCUGUUAGCGAGAAGAGGAUCAAUAAUAAUCAAACUAGCACCCGGAUGUAUAAGCAUAAUUGUUUUCUAAAAUUGCAAUAAAACGUCACUUUCCAUAUAUAUAUAUAUAAAAAAAAAAAACUUAUUGUUCCUUGUAUGAUGGAUUGCAAUCUCAAUAUCGUUCUUAAUGGAACGGCCACAAUUAGUUGUUCAGGACAUAAACAAUAUGUAUUGUCUUUAUAUUUAGGAAAUUGGCUCUGUUAGCCUUAUUACAAACCCAACAAUUAAAAAUACUCCCAAAUUAUAAUCUCUAUUAGCCCUCUUUUCCUUAAAUACCACUAACUUGAAAGAUGAACUGUUAUUCUAUGUCUCGACGUUGGAUCUCGAUGGCAUCCAAAAGGGCCUCUCAACUCCCUUCCGACUGUAUCUCGACUGAAUCACGACGGCAUCUCAACGGCACAGAACUGAAUUACCCUUAUAUUUAUGAGUUGAUCAGACACUCCAAUUAAAUAAAAAUAACUAUAAUUAUGUCAAAAUUAUUUAGUCAGUCUCACGUAUAUAUAAUUAAUUCAUCAAACACAUAAACAAAAAAGUUCUUGUAUGUAUGCUAUACUUUGAUUUGUCUCAACAAGAAAUGACUCAGUCAUCUUUUUAUCUAUGUCCAUUGAGUUUAUGGAGGGCAACAUAUUGAGAUCUCAAAAAUCUUAUUCUCAUACAACACACUUUUUUUUUUGAACAAACGAUAUUAUCUACACUAAGGGAAAAUGGGUGGCCUAAACCUCACAAUGGGCUAGCAAUAAUGUGGUUCAAAUUCACAUUUGGCGAGAAUCAAACCUAAGACCUCUCACUGACAAGUGAAGAAGAAUAUCACUAGACCGUAGUCCUAAAAAAAAUAUAGAUCUUAUAGUCUUGCAGUGUUUUAGAUUAGCUAAAACGUUGGUAUCCAUAUUAACUUACCAAAAAAAAUAUGUUGAAUUUGCUACACCUGGAAUUUGUAGCAGAUUUGUCAUUUUAUAAAGGGGUUUUUAACUCAUUUAAAAAAAAAGAAGGGGUUUUUAACUUUAAUUCUUAAAAAAAAUUGAAAUUUAAUAAAAAUCGGAUGUUAGAUUACAUAUUAAUUAUUGUCCUUUAAUGUGUUAUUAACUCAAAUUAAUUAAUGUGUAUUUUAUUCAAUAUCUCACAUUAAAUAUUUGAAUUUAUGAAAAUGAAAAUUAUAAUAAAAUAUAAUUAAUAUAUCAAAAUUAGAAAGAAAAAGAGAAAUAAUUAAAACAUCAAAAUAUAAUUAAUAAAUGAAGUAAUUAACAUAUCAAGAGACUAAAAUUAGAUUUUAAUUUUACUCAUGUUUUUAAUUUAAAGUUAUUUUUAUCAAAAAUUAAAAUGAAGUUUCCUAUUUUGUAAAUUACAACGAUGAAAAAUGACGCGUUGCACGUAAGAAACAACAUCUAUAUUUUCUCUUUUGUUUAAUAUGCCAUCAAACAUAUCCAUCACAUUUUAAAUUUUGUGGAAGUCCCUCUCUCACAUUGAUAAAGUCUGGUUUGUGUUGGACAGCUGUCCAACAGACAACCCAAAAAUCUUCCAAAAACCAACAAACAUUUCUGACCAGUCAUGCAUACGUAUGCAUGGACCCAAUGGCAUAUAAUCAAAAAUUUUAAAUAAUGGGAUCGUAAUGUCAACUUAAAAAAAAGUUUCAUUAAGCUAUUUCAUCGAACAUUUAGUAAGCAAUUGUCAAUUCUUGUCAACAAUGCCAAAAGUUUAUGUUAAAAUAUAUCAACUACGAUAAUUUGUAGAGGCUUGUCGAGAGUGAUGUAGGAUACUACGAAGUAAUAUUGAGAACUCUUAAAGCUUUUCAACUAAAGUAUUUUAUAUAAAAAGAGAGAAAAGAAAAACAAAUAUGAUAGAAGAAAAUAGAAGAAGUAAGAAGAUGAGGUUGUAAGUUAGUUUGCUUUAGCUAUUUAUAAUGGUCAAAUAAAAUAUACAAACAAAUAUACAUGAGAUUUUUAAAGUUGUUGAGAUCAAGGAUAAUCAAUGAUCCCAUUCUAGUUUUGCCAUUGCAUGGGCCGGAUAGGGAUAUGGCUAAAAUAUAAUUCUAUUAAUUGCGUUUUGGGACUUUGUCUAACAACUUGGCUCUCUCUUGACUUGGAUGCCAUGGAUGGCUCAUGCAGUUUACUAAAACUAGUAAUGUACAAUUUUCAGAGACUAUUAAUUAUCAUCUAUCAGGAAAAUUUGAUUUCCAUGCUUGCCCUUUCACGUCGGUGACUUGGAGAUAAUAUUGUUUCUUGUCCGGAGAUGAAAUAAAAUAAAAAGACUUGCACGAUCAUACUGCAUUAUAUAUAUUACACUAUAUAGUCUAUGUUGGGAGUUAUAUAUUAGUUAAAGUAUAAAUAGUAGUCUGUUAUCCUAUAUUGAUGAAGUGCAUAUGUAAUACAAAUUGUAAUUCCUAUAUAUACUCCAUUUUGGAGAUUAAUGAAUAUAUGAGAAAUUCUCAAAUAUUAUCAUAUAUAUUUUUGGUAUUUACCAUGUUUAGUUUAAUAUAGCAUCAAAGCAGUUCGCUCUUGGUGACCUGUGUGCUUUAAUUUUGUGCCCCACAUUUGUCAUGAUUUCCUUCGUCUUGAAAAAAAAAAAGGAAAGUAAAUAGUGUUGCACUACAGUACAAACAGUGCGUAAACAGUGGUAUGCUACAGUGUUCAUGAACAAUAUUUUGCUACAGUGCCAUUAACAGUGAUCUACUACAUCACUUGAACAGUGAUGUGCUACAGUAUUAUGGUAAAUUGUUUUCAUUCCGCUGCCUAUCUUUUGUGCCUUUAUUGUUUGUGAUUUAAUUCAAUGGCUCAGUAUAAUCAUAAUGUUGUUAUGCAUCUUGGUGGAACAAAUAAAUGGAUAAUUGAUACUGGGACCACUAAUCAUGUGACUAGUGACCCUAGAAUGUUUGAUGAGUUAUGUGACUAUAUUCUUGAUCCGUAUAUUACUAGUGCAAAUGGAGCACAUUCCCCCGUGAAUGUUGAAGGCAUUAUCUCUCUUACUUCGACCUUAUCACUGGUCCAUACUUUACUUGUUCCUGAUGUUAAGUGCAAUCUUUUGUCGGUAGAAAAACUACUUGAUACUUUAUAUUGUUUUGCUCACUUCUACCCUACGUAUUGUUAUUUUCAAGACAUUCAAACUCAGAAAGUAAUUGGUCAUGGUAAAAGAAUAGAGGGUUGUACAUCUUGACUAUGGAGGAUACUGUUGUUUCCGGUUCAAAUAAUCAUCAAGUUUUAAGUGCUAAAGUGGAUGACAUACAUCAAAUUUGGUUGUGGCAUUGGCGAUUAGGACGUCUAUCAUUCAGUUAUAUGAAGCAUCUAUUUCCUGCUUUGUUUCGCAUUUGUAGUGAUUCAUAAUUCAAGUGUGAAGCAUGUGUCAUGGCUAAGAGUCAUCGUGCUUCCUUUCCCAUAAGUGAUUCUAAAGCUACUUUGCCAUUUGAUUUAAUACAUUCUGAUGUGUGAGGUCCGGCAAAUGUUACUUCUAAUGAAUUUCGUUGGUUUGUUACUUUUAUUGAUGAUUGUACUCGAUUAACUUAGGUGUUAUUGAUGAAGAAUAAGAGUGAUGUUCAUUUGCUUCUUCAAGAAUUUUGUGCAAUGGUGUAUACUCAGUUUCAGACCAAAGUUAAGGUUUUCAGGUUUGAUAAUAGAGGAGAAUAUGUGAAUCACACUUUGACAUGCUUUUUUCGUGAUCAGGGUAUUAUUCACCAGACGACUACUUUGUUUACACCCCAACAAAAUGGUGUGUCAGAACAGAAGAAUCGUCAAAUAAUGGAGGUUGCUCACUCAUUGAUGUUGGAUAAAUGUGUUCCUAAUCAUUUAUGGGGUCAUGUUGUUUUGGCUGUUGUAUAUUUGAUAAAUCGUGUUCUAAGUAGGGUUCUUGAUUUUCAGACACCACUUGAUGUGUUACAAAAGCAUGUUUAUCUUGUUUCUGUAUCAAAACUUCCUCCGAAGGUGUUUGGGUGUAUUGCGUAUGUGUAUGUCUACUCUUAUCAGCGGAGUAAACUUGAUGCAUGUGUUCUUCGAUGUGUAUUUAGUAGGUAUGCUAACAAUCAGAAAGGCUAUAAGUGUUAUCAUCCUCCGACUCAUAAAACUUAUAUUACCAUGGAUGUCACUUUCCACGAGGAAGUUUCGUAUUUUGUGAAGCCAUCUUCCGACUCUCCACUUCAGGGGAAAAAAGGGAGUGAAGUGCAUAUUUGAAGAGAUGGUAUGGAUGAUGUGUUACAGGCAGAGUUGGGGAUAGAACCUAUUAUGUUGCGUGAUACUGAUCAGUCGGUUAUAGAUAGUGAUCUGUCACCUAUUAUUCCUAAAACUAUUUUUACUGACGACAGAUUAGAUGUGCCCAACGAGUUGCUUGUCAGUAUGUCUGACGAAUUACUUUCUGAUGACCGAUUGCUUGCUUCUGGUAUGUCUAACGAGCUGCCUGAUGAUGGUUAGUUCAGUGAUGGUUCAUCCAGUGAUGAUUCUUUUAACAAUUUGGUACAAGAUAAUGACAUACAUGAGUUAAAUUCUGACGAUUCUUCUAUUUAUUAGUUGCCUCCACGAGCUAAUCGUGGAAAACCUAAGGUACAAUAUGAGCCUGAUAUGCAUGCCAAAUCCAAAUAUCCUAUCAACAAUUAUGUGUUUACUCAUCGUUUGUCCAAACCAUUUUCAUCUUACAUAUGUCAGCUAUCUAGUGUAUCAAUUCCAACAAAAUUGCACGAUGCCUUGUCUGACCCUAAGUGGGUUAAUGCCAUGAGAGUUGAGAUGGAAGCCUUGGAAAAGAAUUCUACUUGGGAUUUGGUUCAUUUACCAAAUGGGAAGAAAGCUGUUGGAUGUAGAUAGGUGUUCACUAUUAAGCACAAAGCAGAUGGUUCUAUUGACCGGUAUAAAGCCAUAUUAGUUGCUAAGGAUUAUACUCAAACCUAUAGGGUGGACUAUCAGGAGAUUUUUGUUCUUGUUGCCAAACUUAAUACUGUGUGUGUUCUUCUGUCCUUAGUAGCAAACCAGGAUUGGCCUCUGUUGCAGUUUGAUGUUAAGAAUGAUUUCCUUCAUGGUGAUCUCAAGGAGGAAAUUUAUAUGGAUCUCCCACUUAGUAUUAGAACAUCUCCUGAAAAAUGUGUUGUAUGCAAGUUGCAAAAAGCUUUGUAUAGUUUGAAACAAUCUCUUAGAGUGUGGUUUUGGAGGUUUACAAGUUCAAUGAAGAAGUUUGGGUAUGUCCAGAGUCAUUCAAAUCAUACUUUGUUUCUAAAUUGUUUCUAAAGCCACAAAAUGGUAAGCUAACUGCAUUGAUUAUUUAUGUUGAUGACAUGUUAGUGACUAGUGAUGAUCAAAAGGAGAUACAACGCCUUAAAAAAGUACCUAGCUAGUGAAUUUGAGAUGAAAGAAUUGGGUGAAUUGAAGUAUUUUCUUGGAAUCGAGGUUGCACAAUCCAAGCAUGGUAUUUUUCUGUCUCAACAGAAGUAUGUUCUUGAUUUGUUAGUUGAAACAAAUCUGUUAGAUUGCAAACUUAUUGAUACUCUGAUUGAGCAAAAUCAUCAUCUGGGCUUAUUUCCGAAUCAAGUUCCUACUCAUAAGGAACGGUAUCAGAGGCUUGUGGGGAAAUUAAUUUAUUUGUCUCACACUUGCCCUGACAUUGCUUAUGCAGUUAGUGUAGUAAGUCAGUUUAUGCACUCACCUAGUGAAGCUCAUAUGGAUGAAAUAGUCCGUAUUUUGAGGUGCUUGAAGAUGGCUCCUGGCAGAGGCUUGGUUUUCUCCAAGAAUGGUCAUUUGAAUGUCGAAGGGUAUACAGAUGCAGAUUGGACAAGUUCUAUCACUGAUUGGCGGGUGGUAAUCUAGUUACUUGGAGAAGUAGAAACAAAAAAUGGUGGCUAGGUCAAGUGCUGAAGCUGAGUUUCGUGGUAUGUCUCAUGGUGUAUGUGAGUUGUUGUGGUUAAAAAAAUUGUUGAGAGAUCUUGGAUUUAAACCCAAUGGUGCUAUGAAACUCCAUUGUGAUAACAAGGCUGCUAUUGAGAUUGCUCAUAAUCCAGUGCAACAUAAUCAAACAAAACAUGUGGAGAUUGAUCAACAUUUCAUCAAGGAAAAUUUGGAUGCUGGAAUUAUUAUGUUUCCGUUUGUGAGAUCUGAAGAUCAACUCGCUGAUGUACUUACUAAGACUGUGUCUAAUAGUGUGUUUUCCAACUCGCUUGACAAGUUGGGCAUGCAUGACAUCUUUGCUCCAACUUGAGGGGGAAUUUUACGAGUUAUAUAUAGUUAAAGUGUAAAUAGUAGUCUGUUGUCCUACAUUGAUGAAGUACAUAUGUAAUACUAAUUGUAACUCCUAUAUAUACUCCACUUUGGAGAUUAAUAAAUAUAUAAGAAAUUCCCAAAUAUUGUCAUAUAAAUUUUUGGUAUUUAUCAUGUUUAGUUUAAUAGUCUAAACAUCAGGAAAUACACCAACCCUAAACCUAAUGGAUUUUAUGAAGCCGCUGGUUUGGGUACACAUUAAUCUAACCUAAUUGCUCUACCACAUUCUAAACACAAAAUUUGUUAUAAAUAGGAUGAUUAAAUUUAUUUUCUCAAGCGGUAGAGUAGUGAACCUCACAGCGACGACAAUCUUCCACCCCCAAAUUCGGGUUUUUUUGUACUAAAAUGGUCUUUUAUGUAUAAGAACUUUACGAUAAGUUUAUUAAAAUUGGCUCUGUAUCUACGAAAUCUCAACAUCCAUACGUUACAAAAUGGAUUAGAACUCCUAGGAAAUAAAAUAGAACAUAUGAUGAUCCCUUUAAAGGGCCUUAUAAUGGGGAAGACUUCUCACAGAAUAUAAGAAGACGAAGAGGAAAACUAAAAACUUAGAACUUCAAGGAGAUGGACUGGAGCAGGGAGAAUGGCAAAGAACCGGAACCCAGAAGACCCGCAACGAAAAAGAAAACACUGUACUUUUUUUAGACAUUUUUUCACAUUUCUUCUCGGCCUUACAGCCAAGUAGCAUUUUCCGACCCCAAAUAAAGAUAGAAGGAAAAAACCAAAUUAAGGUAAAUAAAUUUUCUAUAGCAACUUGGCAAACAAAAACAUACUAGAAGAAAACAAGGAAAAUACAAAGAAAUUAAGGAAGUAUGGGAAACAAAAUAAAUUUAAUACGGGACCAACGACAACGGUGCAAAUGUAUAUUGUUCAGGAAAUAAACUUUUAGCGAAAAUGUGCUGCAAAAUUGACCAAUUUUGCUUCAUAUUCACACUCAAUUUUUUUAAGAAUUAAUAUCUGUAGAGUUUAGACCAAAAAUAAAAUAAAAAACAAAACCAAAAUGCUACUCCACUUUCUUGGUACUUAACUCAGCUCUCCACCUCCUUCCAAUCUUACAAGCUUCUAGAUUUAGAUUUGUCUCAAAUCACAUGCCAACUAACCUGCCCAGCUCAAUUUUAUUUUUUCUUUGGAAAUUCCAGUGCGUCUCUACUUUUGUUUUUCUAAAUCUUACUUACUCCCAUUAUAAUUGGAAUUUUAUAUAUUUAUAUGGAUGCUUUGUCAAGAUAUGAGAGAAAUAGUAGUGAUUCAAAAAGAUGAUUAGGAGCCAAAAAUAUUUAUUAUUUUAGAUUGGUGUUUAUGUUUUUGAACAGUUAAAAACUUUUUUGGUCAUUGUGUUUAUGUUUAAAAUUUAUUUUGGUCACUGUAUUUUAUUUUCUGCUAAUUUAGUUACUGUGUUAUCACAAGUUAGCAAUCUUAGUCCUUCUCAAUCAAACGUUAAAAAAAACGCACAUGACAUGCAAGUGCAGGGGUAACUAUGUAAGUGAAAAUAUAUCUUUGCCCCUGCACGAAACUGUCACGUGCAUUUUUUUGGCGGUUGACUUAUGGUAACGCAGUGACCAAUUUGGCAGAAAAUAAAACACAAUGACCAAAAUAAAUUUUAGAAAUACACACAGCGACCAAAAACGUUUUAAUUUAACCCAUUUUUAACAGUCCAGCCAGCUACCAUGAAAGCUACAACAUGAAAGCUGACUGUCAAAAUUUUGUUUAAAAAUUCAUACACAAUAAUCGUCAUAAGAACGUGCAAUAGGUACUUUGAAUUCUUAAAUAUACUGCAUGGUUACCCUUUCCUUUUGUUUUAUACAGAGAAAUCUUGACAGGCAGUCAAAAGCAAAAUUAUGUUCUUCUAGUGAUAUCUGUGUGCUAAAAAGGAAGUACGUAGCUACGUUCAGUCUUCACCUAACACUCCUAUUUGCACCUAAAAGAUGUGGAUAACAAAGAUUUUGACCAAAAUCACAUUGACAAGUACUUGCCAAAGGAUCACGGAACCUAUGAUUGUAAAAGAUAUACGUGUUGGGCCUGACCGACGUUAAUUAGUUGUUCAUAUUGAUUUGAGAAAUUUGAUUGAAUGAGGAUUAACAAAUCACAAUUGCUAAAAUAUUAAAAUGUAUUAACUGCGACAUAUUGGUUAAAUAAUUAUUGCACAUCGAAAAAAUAUUGACGAGUAAUUAUGAAUUUUUAUUUUCAUUAUUUCAAACAUUUUUAUAUUAGAAAAGCUAAAGAAAAUGAUUUAAAAACUUUGAAUUUUAAUGAUACGUACAAAAUGAAAGGUAAAAUAAAUAGUACCAGAAUUAACUUUUUGUUUAAAUUUUAUUUUCUAUUUGGCAUCAACUUUUGGUUUAAAUAUACUAUAUAACCCUCACAAAAGAAAAAGCAUGGUGUACUAGUAGCUAAAAGACAUAAAAAAGGUUAAUCUUAAUUUAUUAUUCUAAAGUUUCUUAGUUUUCAAUAUUUGGUAUAUAAAGUUUUUUUUAUUCUAGAGUUGUACAUAAAGUUAUAAUUUUGGGAUACUUUCAUACAUCCAUUAAGGUUGCUGUUAAAUUUAUCAUUAACUGAUGAUAUGACAUUUAUGUUGACAAUGACACGUAGAUAUUAAAAAUUAAAAAUUAAAUUAAUAAAAUAAUAAAAAUUAAAAAAAAAAAAAAAUUGGGCGUCUUCACCCUCACCCCUUCUGACCCCCCUCCCUUCUCUCCUCUGCACCCACGCUUCCCCCUCCCUCUUCGACUCCACCCAACGCUGCACUCCGAGGAUUGUUGCCAUCCUUUCAAGCCCAAUUUCGCCCCCAAAUAGGCCCGGGCAGUACUUGGCCAUAAACUUCAAGUCGUAGACCCUCUCGAACAAACGACCUGCCAUCUUUGCGAACUCAGUGGGGGAGCUGAGGAUGGUCUUCCUCGUCACCAGCUUCAUUACAUAGGCCGAGUCGUAGAGGCCGUGGAAGCUCACCCAUACGAGCUGCCCCCUGUGCACCCUUAAAAUCUCAACGAAACCCUCCACAAAAAUAUCCGAAUCAAUGCCGAACUUCCCAAAUUUCUCGAGAUCCAAGCCAUUCGCUUUGAGGAGGGCAAUGGAUUCUGGAACAUGGGGGUCGGUUUCCUCGUCAAAACCCCGAAAGUUGAACUCCCAGGUGCCGCCGACGUUGCCGCGGUCGUCGAACAGGGUGAUACCCACUUGGAUGAGAUUGAGAGAAUCGACAUUAAGGGCGAUAUCUUGGUAACGGAGGCCCUUGGAAGUGCCUCUGGGGGUGUUGCGGAGGAACCCCGGAAAUUCGGUGUCGAACGAGACGAUCGGAAAACGGCAGAGACACCGAUCGACGGAGGGAAGGGGAAAGGUGGGUGCAAAGGAGAGAACGGGAGUGGGGUCGGAAGGGGUGAGGAAGAAGAUGCCCAAAUUUUUUUAUUUAUUUAAUUUUUUUAGUUUUUAUUAUUUUAUUUUUUAAUAUGCACGUGUCAUCAUGUCAUUGUCCACGUGGAUAACACAUCAUUAGUUAACAGUAAAUUUAAAGGCAACCUUAAUGAAUGUAUAAAAUUGUUCCAAAAUUAUAACUUUAUGUACCACUCUGAGAUGAAAAAAACUUUAUUUACCAAAUAUUGAAAACAAAAAAACUUUAAGAUAAUAAACUAAUAUUAAUCCUAAAAAACUACUAAAGGAAAGGGUGAAAGAAAAAAUUAUUAGUUUGUGCUGUUCUCAUGGUAAUAGUGGUUUUUGUAUUGUACGAUCAUGUGUUACAUUUUAUGCAUUAUUAUGUGGAUGAAUGAAUAAGUUAAUUACAUCGCAUGUCAUAGGGUGAAUAUUACAUUAAAAAAUUCUUCAUUCUUGUUAUUCGUCAAAUUAAUGGUUGUGCAUUUGUAUGAGGACCUAGAUCUGUUGAGGAUGCAGAUCUUCACUCGUUGAAGGCCAUCCCUAUCUAUCUACUACUACUCUUUGGAAAAUAAUUGACUACAGAUGAUUGUACAAAAAAAUAAUUAAUAUUAUCUGAACAGCUCACCAUGCAUGUUCAGUAAAGUAAAGCGGAUUUGUUUAUUCAUUGUCUAGUUCAAACUUGGGGAGCAUUUUCUCAUUCUUGCGGUGAUCAGAAUAAUGUGAUUUAAGUCCAGUUAAACAUGCUUAAUUAUGCAUUUAAGCAUCUUUUAUUUAUUUGCUUUCAUUAUUUUUUCCUUCUUAAUGUGUUGUUAUUGUUUGGAACAACAAGUAAGACAAAUCUAGCCAGUUAGCAUUCACCGCAUCACCGCAUAAUGAAAGAUUAUUCAUAUUUGGAAAUGAAUAAUUAAUUAAAAAACUGUAUUAUUAAGGCAAAUGGGCACUUAAUAUUUGUAUCUUAAACCUUCCGAGUCGGAUAUUCGAGUAAAUUAGUUAAAAAGCUAUGCAAAAUGUGAAUGUGACAGACUACGUAGUAAAGUUUGGGUUAAGAGAGAGAGAGAGAGAGAGAGAGAGUAUUUCGCAGCCGGCUGGUCCCUAUGUACGGGAAGAAUCAUAGAAAGUUAGGUAACUACACACAUUUUUCAAAGAUGUCGAUCAUGAAAAAUAUUUGAUAACAAAUUCAGGGAGGACAUACUGCUUAAAUUAUUAACCUAGAAAUAAAGUUCGAUCUCUUGCUUUAACUUUUCUGCUACGUAGCUCUUAUUGCAUUAAACAAAGCCUUAUUAAAGUAAAGAUGGUCACACCCUUAGCCCUUUAGGUGAUACGUUCAGGGAAAUGGUUAAUGUUUUUACAAGCUCUUGUUUAUUUUUAUUUUUUAAUAUUUUCAGAUAUUUUUACAAUCUUUUACUGCGCAGUAAUAGAGUGUAAAAAUCAUAUCUAUGUAUUUAUUUAUUAUUAACUAUGUUUACAAUGAACCUUCUAUUCCAUGAAACAAGAUAUAAAAAUAAAAAUAAAAAGGAGAAGGGCAUAAAUUAACAAAAUUCGGUCAAAGGCCGCAUUGGUCCAAACAUUAAUUGAUAAUCUAUGACAAAUAGUCUGGCCCCAUUAGCAUUAUUUUAACAGUAAUAUUGUUUUUUUACUAAGAUAAUUAAUAAUUGCCAAGUGAAAAUUUGGCAUGAGUACCAUUGUGAAGGGUAAAAACCAAAGCUAUAUAAAGGGUGAGGAGGCUUAGCUUCAGAGGCAGACAACCAAAAACCCAUUCUUAACGAAGGAUGGGAAAAAUGGUGCCUUCACAAGUGACCUCUCUUGUGGUCACUCUCCUAGUGGCAAUAGUCUCUCUCACAUUGCCUUCAGAAACUUCAGCUAACUACCCUUACACCUCUCCACCACCACCGGCCUCUCCUCCCUACCAUUACAAGUCACCACCGCCUCCUUCUCCUUCUCCUCCAGUGCACUACUCACCACCUAAGCAUCCCUACCACCCUAAGUCACCACCACCUCCUGUGUACGCACCACCUAAGCAUCCCUACCACCCUAAGUCACCACCACCUCCUGUGUACCCACCACCUAAGCAUCCCUACCACCCCAAGUCACCACCACCAUCACCAAAGCCUUACCACUACAAAUCCCCACCACCACCUCCUGCUCCAGUGCACUCACCACCCCCACCUAAGGAGCCAUACCACUACAAGUCCCCACCACCACCACCCAAGAAGCCCUACCACUACAAAUCUCCCCCACCACCUCCUCCUCCAGUUCACUCACCACCACCACCCAAGGAGCCUUACCACUACAAAUCUCCACCACCACCACCCAAGAAACCUUACUAUUACAAGUCUCCUCCACCACCACCAAAGAAGCCUUACCACUACAUGUCUCCUCCCCCACCGGUGUACUCACCACCUCCACCAGUGCACUCACACCCACCACCAAAAAAGCCUUACCAUUACAAAUCUCCUCCCCCGCCAGAAUAUUCACCAGCUCCACCAGUGCACUCAACCCCACCACCAAAGAAGCCCUACCAUUACAAAUCCCCACCACCACCACCACCACACAAGAAGCCUUAUUACCCUGUUCACUCACCACCUCCACCUAAGAAGCCUUACCACUACAAAUCCCCACCACCACCUUCUCCUACUCCUCCUAAAUACUCACCACCUAAGCACCCCUACCACUACAAGUCUCCACCACCACCACCAAAGAAGCCUUACCAUUACAAGUCCCCACCACCUCCUUCUCCUACUCCCCCUAAAUACUCACCACCUAAGCACCCCUACCACUACAAGUCACCACCACCACCACCCCAAGAAGCCUUACCACUACAAGUCUCCACCACCACCACCUCCUCCAGUUCCCACACCAUCUCCACCCAAGAAACCUUACCACUACAAGUCUCCCCCACCACCCCCUCCAGUCUACAAGUCUCCUCCACCACCAGUUUACUCACCACCACCACCACCUAAGAAACCUUACAAGCCACCAACUCCUCCAGCAGUUCACCCACCACACGGUUACAUCUAUUCCUCACCCCCACCUCCUCACCACUACUAGAUAUUGAAAGUUUAAUUGCAUCAAGCUGGUAAGCUUCUCCAUUCUAUGCUAUUAUUCAUUAAUUAGUUAGUACUACUGUUGUCAAUUUGGAAAUCACCAUACAACCAAAUGCACACUCUGACGAAAUAACAUAUAAAUUCUAAUUGAAUAGUCUUUAUUUCCAUUUUUGGCUAAUAAUCCUUAUUAGCAUAUGGAUAAUGUAUUUCCAACAUAUCGUUAUUAACUUAUUACUCAAUUAAUAUUUCUUUUUCUUUAAAUUCAGUAGCCGUGUGUAACAAAUAGACCAAUGGCAGAGACCCAACAAAUAACAAUAAUAUGUCUUUGC